GUGGCGUUACGAUCACAAGUUCACAACUCAUAACACUUGUGAUAAUAAGAAUUACGAGUCUUAUCGCCGUAGAAACAGCUGAGGUCGAUGGAGAUCCUGAGAUCCAUCUCGGUAUCUCACAACACCAGCAACAUCAGAACACAGUUGAUAGUCCCUAUUGAUGGAGACCCAGAAAAAAGGAGGCAGCAAAGCACAUACAAAUUUCCUUUCUCACUUUACUUUGAUUCUUUCUGUAGAGGUGUCAACUACACUGGGAUCCACUCAACUAGAUGAUAACAAAAGCAAAAUAAUCACAUAUUUUGUGGCCCCCUGCCUCUGCUAAUCAGGGGAUGGUACUAAAGUCUCUUAAGAGACAUUAACAGAGCAGCUACUGAAGAUGAUAAACAUAUGAGAUCUCACACAGCUCUUGUAAUAUACAUUAAGCCCAUAGGAAUGGCUUGGGAUCUUGCAGUUAAAAUACCUCACAGACCACUGCCAUGGCCAUGUGCUCCUUCUCCAGUCCCUGGCCCGGCCCCUGUAUACAAUAUCUGCAGCUUGCAGCAGGCUGUAGCUGUACUGGUGUUACAUGUGACCUGUGUGCUGUGGCUGGUACCAGCAUUGUGGAUUAACCUCACAUUUAGGGGGUGUUUGGGAAACACCUGUUAAAAUUUAACACCUGUCACAUCGGAUGUUUGGAUGCUAAUUAGAAGUACUAAACAUAAGCUAAUUACAAAACUAAUUGCACAGAUGGAGUAUAAUUCGCGAGACGAAUCUAUUAAGCCUAAUUAGUCCAUGAUUUGACAAUGUGGUGCUACAGUAACCAUUUGCUAAUGAUGGAUUAAUUAGGCUUAAUAGAUUCGUCUCGCGAAUUAGCACAAGGUUCUGCAAUUAGUUUUAUAAUUAGCUCAUGUUUAGUCCUCCUAAUUAGCAUCCAAACCUAGUGGAGGUGGCUGUAGUUGCAGAGUACAUCAAGGAUCUUGAUACAGUAACAUCAUUUGUGCUGAUGGCAUCAAACUACUGGUAAAUACUAAGGACAACUAGUAGUAUAUAUGUCUUCUAAUAACUAGGGGUAACACUGGAUUACUUGUCUAUAUAUAUAUUAUAUAUCCGGCAAUACUGCAUAUGCCGCCGUUUUCUUAAUCAAGGCUAAUGGCAUCUUCUCUUGUGGUUUAGUAGAGCUAUCCACUAACACGGGGGACUAAAAUGAACAAAAGAAAGGGAGCUAACACUAUGCUGACACUUCACUCCUUUUUCCCUAUAUUCCACCAUCGCUUUUCUUGGCUUCUCGUAUUCCUGUCACAAACACACAAACAGCGAAAGGACAAAGAAAACAAAAAAAGAUAAGAAAGAAAGGGCAGCAUAAUUAGUAAAGCCAAAAGGUUGUUAUUUGAGAACGGUAGUCGGAAUAAAGAGAGGCGAUAGUGCUUACUAUGAUUAGGCUGGGGUAUCACUCGCCUCCAAUGGUGAACUUUACAUCCCCAUCGCUCCGUGAUCGGAGGACAGCCUGCUCAUUGCAUUCCGCAAAAAAUUUCAUUUCAUCGGUGGAUGACAGAAUGUUCAUCAAAAUAAUCAGCAGGCCAGAGAAAGUAGAGGUUUAUCGCACCUGUGCAUGGGAAAGAAGUACGGCCUCGGCGAAGGAAUGUCCAACGUGGGAGGACGGAGAUGGUUACCACCGCCGUCGGUGUUGUUGCCGGACUCCACACCGAUACGGGAUACAGCGCUCUCAGUCUCGGUGGCGGCGAAGCUGUCGUGAGCAAACACAGCAGACUUGGUCGGGGAAGCGAAUGGGCUGUCCGGCAAAUUGUGCUCCCCACUGCAGAUUUCAUGGAACAAGCAACGAUCAAGCUUUGACACACUCAAAUGCAGUUUAACUCUUCCGAGUUGAAUGUCUAUCAGAUCAUGAUUCAUGAAAGCUAAGUGUUGGAAUAAUAAGCAAGCAGAAUGAUGGUGAUGUGCUGUCUAGUAUAGUUAAAUCCACCUUUGGUCGCUAUCGGCAGCGUUCGGGCUCCCCUCGCCAGCAGAUUCCUCCUUAUCACCACCGUUGACCUUCCUCUCCGCAGCAAAGCCGCUGCUCAACUUGAGCUGCUCCCCUGUCAACGGCCAAGGAAUCACAACGAUCAGUAACAUUUGAAACAAUUUGGAUUACUGGAGGGACCAAUGUGCUCUCGCGGCUAUACGUACCCGACUCUGGUGGCGACUCGACUGCGGUGGUGCUCGCCGGUGGCCCGGAGGUGAAGGCAUUGGCAGUUGGCGUGGGCUGCGGUGAUGACGCUGCCGCAGUUGCAGCUGUGCGUGCCUUGAGGUCAAGCAGCUGAAGGCCCAUGAGGCGGCGGCUCUGGAGCUCUAUGGCCUGCUGCUGCUCCUCCAGCUUCCGCCGCAGCAGAAGCUCGUUGGCGCUGUUCGAGUGUUGCAGCAUCCUUGCACCUGACAAACAAACAAUCAAAUGAACGAUCAGCCCAAAUGUGAGCACCACACCAAAGAUGGCAAAUACCAUAAGUAAAGUGACUUUGACCAAGCUAAAGUUCGAAUCUUUUACCGAGUUGGUGGAGAUCAAACGGGUCCCUGGUGUCUAGCCCGGUGGGCGUCGUGCAGCCGGAGAAGUCGCCUUGCUGCUGCUUCCUGUGAAGCGACGAACAGCAAAUCAGAUAACCCGAUCAACUGCAUGCAUCAUGCACGGCCGCCAUUGCCGUGGUCGGAAGCAAAGGAUUAAUUUGCAAUGCGUGCCUGUACUUGUCGGGGACCUUGCCCUUCUCCUUGUAGGGCUUGACGAGCACGCGUGCGUCGCAGAUGAAGUGCGGGUUGCCCUUGGCCAGGAUGAGCUUCACCGUCUCUGGGUACACGAAGGUGACGAACCCGAACAUGCGUUUCUGCUGGUAGGGGAUGCGCACGUCGUGGACCGGCCCGUAGAUGCUGCACCGCAUUGCCAAGAAGCGCAAGGGUCACAGCCCUCGGUCAGAUCGCGUUCGAUCGAAGAAAGAAGCAGCCUGGGAGCAAAAUUGCAGCAUCACAUUAGCAUGUGUGCAUGGAUACCUGAAGUAGUUGGAGACGUCCUCCUCGCGGAACGUGCUGUCGGCCGGGAAGGUCAGGUAAAUCUGGCGCGAGCCGGGGUUCAUCAUGCUUGCGAAGUCAGCACGGUCCAGGCGCGGCCGGCCCAUGAACUUGUGCGCAUCGUCGCCGCCGCCAAGCAUCAGCGCCGCGGCCGCCGCGGCUCUGCACGCGCACAGGCGAAAAAGGCUGGAGCUUUGGUGCGAAUGAUUCGAGUUUGGGGUCAGAACUUGUAAAGGCGGCGGCUCUACCUGUCGUGCUGCUGCUGCUGCUGCUGUUGCUGCAGCAGGAAGCUGAGGCACUUGCUGGCGGCGGAGGGCGAGCCUGGGAGGGAGCCGGUGGGGGAGUAGGGGAAGGCGGCGGGGCCGAGGCGCUGGCUCUUGGAGCGGAGGAGGAAGUCCUGGCACUGCUGCUGCUGGUCGGCGGCGGCUUCCAUCUUGGUGGCGGCGAGCGCGGCUGCAUCGUCGGGGAGACCGCCGUGCACGAACCGGCAGCUGCUGCCGUUCUUGCAGAACCCGCGCGCGUAGUAGAGGCAGGGCUUCCACCCGAAUCCGUCGCCGCCCCCGCCCCCGCCGAGGCAGAGCUCGUUCACCGACACGCUCCGGCGGUGCACGGGGCCGCCGUUGGGCCACCCGAGGCCGAACGGGAGCAACCCACCGCCAUCGCCCGGGCCGGGGCUCCAGCACUCCCCGCCGUCGAGCCCCGUGAGCUGGUGCGCCGGGUUCGCGCCGCCCUCGUUGAGGAAGGCGAGCUGCUCCUGCAGCUGCAGAUCGUCCAGGAGCGCGUCACCGCCCUGGGGAAAGAAGGGCGCCGCUCCUCCGUUCACGGGGCUAGGCAGCUCGUCGCCAGCCCCCGGUGCCGCCUCGUCCGCGGUGCCAUUACUCGUGCUGUUGCUCCUCGAGAACACCGGCGCCUGCGCCCACGACGAGGGCGAGGACACCGAGAGCGGCGACGGCGCGCCGGCGCGGCCGGAGUUCUGGCGCGGGAGCUGGAGGAACGGCGCGUGGCCCGCGGCGGCGACGGAGGUGGGCGAGGCCGGGAGGAGCAGGCCGAGGUCCUUGCGCGCCUUGGCCAUGACGGCGUGGAGCAACGACUCCGGGCCGAAGGCGAGGCGGAUCAUCUCCUUCUCGCCGUGGUCCUGGAUGAGGAGGAGGCCCAUGAUCUUGGCGGCGUGGUCCGGGUCCAGCGCCUGGAUCCGGGAGAACACCACCUUGGUGGCCUCGUAGGCGUCCAUGGCCGCGCCAGGAGAAGGGGGCCGGACGAGACGAAACCCUUGCACCGCCCCGCACCGCAGCAGCAGCUAUCACGGGCUUCUCGCUUCUCCCUCACACGCCUUUACCUGGCUCGGCUCGGCUCGGCUGGCCUAGUGCUGCUUGGUCUUACCGCCUUCACGGCCUUUUGUACACACGCUGCGCUGCUGUGCUCGGCAGCGCGAUCGGAUCGAUGGAUGUCAGUGUAGUGUAGGGUAGCACCGAGCUGCUAGUCGUAAGCGCAGAGCUAAUGGGUAAUGGCUGGCUAGUGCUCCUCUCUGGCUGCUCGCGAGCCUCCGCUUCCCCAAGCUCCCGCUGCGCCACUGAGCAGCUCCAUUUCCCCAAGGUUUGGUGCUUAGCCGCGGCCUAUCAAAGACCAAACUCCAUUACUCUAUCUCUCCCUCAGCUUUGGCUAUAUCAUAAUAUCAUCGCCUUGGGGGUAGGUUUCUUGGGCUCGGGACUCUCUGCUCGGGGGAGCGAGCGUGCGGAGUGGGGUAUGCAGACUGGCAGAGGAAGGAGGCAGUGUGCAAACUUUUGAGGGAUCAAUGGCCGUGUGCGCAUACCAGUUUGGUUUACUAGUCACUGUUGCUCAGGAGGACCCAGAAAAAACAAUGGGUGUUCAAUUCAAAGCUGCGUGGCCUGUGCAUGGAUCUUGAUCUCCCCAAUUCGCCAUUUUCAAAACCUGAUUAUGGGCAUGGAUUCCGUCCUGAAUUGAGCCUUGUCCGGAUCUUCGGUUCUCGCGUUCUCCCUCCAGCACCCUGCCGUUGCAGCAGAAACCCCGCCUACUUGCGCUAGUUCUGGCAGGAAAUGGUUGCUGCUUUUCUCAACAUCUUUUGCGACUACAGAAAUCUGGUGCUCGUUUGGCAGAAAAAUGGCCUAGGGGCCUCUCCAUGCCGAUCAAGAGGGUGAUGGAUAUCGUCGCAUUUCUGAAGAGAAGGAUAUCUCGACGGCGAUGGGAUAAACUAAAGUGGUAAUCUCAAUGCAGAACGGCGUCGCUUUCCUUUUCAUAUUCAAAUCAUCGAUGGUGCCUGAUAACCAAUUCCAAGUCGAUUGGCAUGUUGGGGUAGCAUGAGCAGCACUGCAGCAGUGAGAUUGUUAUGGUCGGAUCCAGAAAUGCCUCUCGUACCCUUCCAUUACUUCUGGAUGCCCAGCCCGAGCCCGGCUUGAGCCCCUGGCCUUUAUAGGGCCGGGCGUGGUGCCCAUUUUGCUGGCUCGAAAAAACCGAACGGACUAAGCCUGAUCCGAUUAUUAUUUUUAUUUAUUUUUCAACUAAAAAGAUCAACUAAAAAGAUCGGGAGGUCCAACCCGGUCCGAAAAAAGUUCGUGGGUGGGCUGUAAUUUUUUUUCCCCGGAAUCAUUCCAGACUUUUUCAGGCACGGCCCGCACUUUUGCCAGGUAUAGUUCUACACCACUGUCACGUAAAAUUGGAUGCAUAGCUGAAGGGUGUUUGAUGCAGCGGCGAGUAUAGUGGCUAAUAGAUUACUGGGAUUGUUAAAUGUCCAGAAUGCUCUUGGCAUUUUAACGUUUGCAACCAAACAUGAAAUGGUCAAUUCCUUACACGCCACUAAAAAUGUUUACAAUUCCAUAUCUACCAUUAGAAAACUUCUCGCGUCUUGGGAGCCAGUAGUUCAAGUCUUUGUUUCCCUCUGUACCAUGAAACGGUCUAUUUAUGAAAUGCCAAAACAAGAGUAUAUGGUAAAAAUAGUCUCAUAUGCUAGUUCAGGAUGGUAAAAAUUAACUUAAAUAAAAGAGCAAUAUCAUUUCACUAAAUAUGGAAACGAAGGGAGAAUCCUAAUAUAUUUGUCAGUUAGCAGGGUCAAUUGGUAAUGAAGUUAUUUUGGGUCUGACCUUUUUCAAGGGAGAACAUUGUCUCUGUAAAAGGCCGUAGAGACAUCUCGGUUCUAAACAUGAUAUCGACGAGAACAAACAUCUUCCGCUUCAUUUCUGGUAAACUUAUUUUCACGCUCUUCUUCUUGGUUUGCAUUGAGGAGGAGAGCGAGAGGUAUCUUGAAACCCUUAUUAUAAAUAAUUUUUUGAAGUCAUUGACGUCAUAGGAUUUUCAUGAGGGAUGACAAUAAGGUUUCUUUAUUGCGCAACUACACCCCCUCAAUCUAGCUGAUCGCCCAGUGCUGCCUCAUCCUCGAUCGUCCAGUGCUAUCUCAUCCUCGAUCUAUACUGCGCCUGAGUCCAGGGCUAUGAGUCUACACGAGGAGUGAUCAUCUUUUUUUUAGGUCCUGUUUAUUUCCACCUUCCUAAAAUUUUAGAUGCUAAAAGUAAGACUAAAGAGCCAAACACUCCUCCUAAAAACAUCUAAAAAGUAAGACUAAAGAGCCAAACACUCCUCCUAAAAAAUGACUAAAAUAUUUUAGGUGGCUCAAAACUUUUAGUCCCUCCACCCCCUCCUAAAACCUCCUAAAACUAGUGCUGGACUCCCACUACUCCUUCUUUAUUGCCUCUGCCCCCGCACCAUCCCCAACCCCACCACUGCUCCCUUCCUCAUCCACGCUGGCGCCUACGGCCUCUCACCGGCGGCCGCGCCAUCCCCCACCGGAUCUGUUGCCCCUGCUCCCUCGCGCCGCUGCAUGGGCCGGCCGUGGCGCUCCCGCUCCUCCUCGACGCCUGUGAGAGGAGCGUGAGGUGGGGCCGGAGGCCGAGGCGCUGGUGGCGGGCACCCGCAGCAGCAGCCGUCCGCACCCUCCCCACGUCCGCGGCCGCGCCUUCCCACGCCAGCAGCAGCCCGCUUCCCUCCUUGACGCCGCCCACUGGUACCGCCCAUCUUUACCUUCGGCACCAUCGCCAAGCCGCUCCCCUCCUCCUGCUCUGUGACUCGUCGGAUGGCUUGGGGAGAGGCACCGGCCGCGGACGGCAUGGAGCUAGGCCACCGCUGCUGGAGCUGAGGAGGUUGAAGUGAGGUUGGGCCCCACCGGCUUCCCCUCCCUCUCAAACGCCACGAGGCAGCCGUGUCCGAGGAUCCGUCCAUGAGGGCCGAAGGGGAAGGCGCUGCCAAACAUGAGUUCGAGGUCGGGGACGCGAACCAUGGCGCGCGUGACCUCGCCCACGGCACGCCAUGGGCGGAGGUCCUCGUGGAUGAAGCGGAAGUAGGAUGGGCACGAGUGGUUGGAGGGAUGGGAGGCGGCGAGGUCGGGCGGUGGUGGAGGGCUGGGGGAGGAGGGGCAGAUGGAGGGAGAGAAUAGCGCCAAACAAAGAAAGAGCGAGGGCAUGGGGAAAGGCAUCAUGGUCAUUUUACCGCAACAUUAAUUGCCUUUAGUCAGUUUUAGGAGAUGGAACCAAACUGACUUUUAGGAGGUGACUAAAAACUGCCUAAAAUUUUUUUAGGAGCUAAAAUUUUAGAAGGGUGGACUAAGUCCACCGAUUCGAGAUAACAUCUCAGCUACCGUUUGUUUACUUGGUUGUUAUCACUGCAUAUGUCCGUAGCACGAGUAGUUUAGCGCUUUUCCUCACAAUUAGCAAUGGUAUGUAUAAGCCCUGGAACUACGUAUUUAAGAAAAUGUUCUACGCUCUACACCAGUGCAAGAAGGUUGUGAGAUUUUAGGUAAGAGCUGUAAUGGUUGGAGUAAAGGGAGGGCCGUUCCCUAAAAACAAAGCAUGAGCAAUGAAGAAAAUCAAUAGCACCAGCGUCGGCAGGCACUAAAAGGCCCUGCACUCAGAACUUUUGCCGUCAACAUGCCUUGAUGCCAUUUACGAUUGCCAUCAAGGAAUGUCUACUCUGCUGUUCGGUGACCAGGAUUCAGGGGGUUGGCAGUUACGAUAUCCUUCGCUGGUGUACGUUGCAGACUUGCAUCUAGUAUCUUCGGUUGACUUGCUGUUCUCGUGGGAGGAAGCAGAUCCUUUGCAGCCCCCAUGUGUCAGUGACUUUAAUACUAGCAGAAGUACUGAGAGGAGUCUUGUCGUUGGGAGAUUGGUCGAUAAAUGAUUAAUGCGCAGGCGAGUGCAAUGGAAAAGGCGCUGUAUUGACCAUUGUUCUGGGAAGCCCAAGGACAGUACAGGCGAACUCAUCACCGCUGUACCGUCGCUGGAUCCGUAUGUCUGCAACUAGCCGGCUGGGCAGCUUCGGUGGCAGAGGAAGAAGCAAUGCCAUACCUAGAAUUUUGUAGAUGGCGGUGAGAAAAUUGUUCGGCCGACGGCUGCCAUGUGCCAAUGUGCAUCUGAAACAUAUAUACAACAACCCUGCGUACAUGAGCAUCCUUGGCUCUGUGUCAGUAGAAAAAAAAACUGUCCUGCAGCAAGAUGAUAUGCACAGCCUCCGAACUACCGAGACAUCCCAUGCGAGACACUACAGACCGUACGGAUAAAGAAUGACAAAGGAAGAAUAUGCUAUGAAAAAUUGGUUCGUAAUCAAAUUGGUAUACAAAGUGUCAAAGUGAUUCAUCUCUGUAAUGCCAGCCCCAAGUCCCAGUCUUAAUAAAAUGUCACUUUAUCAUGCCAUCUGUCUCAAUUUACCCACACAAUUUGCUUGUGUAUCCAGAGAGUUCAAAUGGUUGCUAUAAAAAGAAGAGAAAUAAAUACAAGAGGAGGAUAAUGACUAUUAUCCUACUACCUUACUGAGAUAUUGUACCACGCGUGCAUGACCCAAAUAUAUAUUUUUUUUUGCCGUCUCAGGCUUUGGGCCAUGGCAAAAGGUUGGUCGAUCAGCAGGUGGCUAAAAAAUGGCACGGUCCAAUUGGUAGCUCUAAUCGCCGGUCAUGAUAAGGAGGUGUUCGGAUACCAUGUGCUAAAAUUUAGAGAGUGUUUGGCUCCCCUAGGCUAAAUUUUAGCCCCUGUCACAUCGGAUGUUUGACACUAAUUAGGAGUAUUAAAUGUAGAUUAAUUACAAAACUAAUUGCACAACCCCUAGGCUAAAUCACGAGAUGAAUCUAUUAAGCCUAAUUAGUUCAUGAUUUGACAAUGUGGUGCUACAGUAACCAUUCGCUAAUGAUGGAUUAAUUAGGCUUAAUAGAUUCGUCUCGCGAAUUAGACUCCAUCUGUGCAAUUAAUUUUGUAAUUAGCCUAUGUUUAAUACUCCUAAUUAGGAUCUAAACAUCUGAUGUGAUAGGGGCUAAACUUUAAUAUGGGGGAUCCAAACACCUCUAAGUGAUGUUUGAGGUUGUCUGAAGUCAACAAUUCCAACUUUGACCGCUACUUUAUUUAAUAUAUCUAUCUAUUACGGGAAGGAUACAACAAUCCAUGUUCACUGAGAGGUUCUAGAAAUUCCCACGUUAAUUAGAAAAAGAGAAGGAUAUAUGUCGUUGAAUUUUAUGAUGAUCUAGCUGUCUAUGGGGGCGUUUGGUUCCCUUUGCUAAUUUUUAGCACGUGUCACAUCGAAUGUUUAGAUACUAAUUAGGAAUAUUAAACAUAGACUAUUUACAAAACUCAUUANNNNNNNNNNNNNNNNNNNNNNNNNNNNNNNNNNNNNNNNNNNNNNNNNNNNNNNNNNNNNNNNNNNNNNNNNNNNNNNNNNNNNNNNNNNNNNNNNNNNAUCCUCCCCAUUGCUUGGAUUGAGCAAGAGACUUCGGGCUGCACCACCCCCUCAAGCUACCUAGAGAGAUCGCCACUCAAGGUGUCGCACAUACGGGGCAGCCGUCGCGUCACAGCUGCACAGUAUGCAAAAAUACUUGUCGACAUAGAAAGAAAACUGAGUGACGUUUCGAUAUUUAAUCCUUUUAUCUUAGACUGCACAGAUUAACCUCAUAGCAAGGGCCAGCAAUAUGGUAGGAGCUAUGUCUUAAUAGAUUCGUCUCGCCGUUUAGCCUCCACUUAUGUAAUGGGUUUUGUAAAUAGUCUAAGUUUAAUACUCCUAAUUAGUAUCUAAACAUUCGAUGUGAUUGGUGCUAAAAAUAAGUUGGUGGAACCAAACACCCCCUAUAUGUCAAUCAAAAAAGAAUCCACAACAAGGGCACGCAAUAGAACGAGCUUGGAAAGAAACCGGAAAAAUAUUACUGCCUUCUUUAGGCACUAGGAGUCCUAAUCUAAUUUAAUACCUGACAUGUCUUUUUUUAAAGUAAAAAGGAGUCCAAAUGUUAGUAUUAAAAAAGCUAGAAGCCACGCUAUUUGCACGGGCCAUCCUUCUACUAGUUGGUAGAUAUAGCAAAAGGUUUACUUCUCCAAGCCUCACUGCUAAUUUCUAAACAUUGAAAUUAAACACAUAAAAAUAUUAUAGUCUUGACUUGAUACAAUCUAACAACAUGACUUAUUUAUGGCCGUAGGGAGUAAUUAUUUGUGGCUCCUUGAAUAAUGGCCUUAACUAGUUACCCAACUUGUUUGACUUUGGUCUAACUAUUUCAUUGUGGAUCUGCUUUCGUCCUUGCGUGUCGCCACACAGAUAUGUGCUACAAAAGGAGGAUGCAAAACUCCAAAAAAGGUGCAUUAUUGGGUGUUUCAAUGAAGGUUUGAUUUAUCGAGUAGUUCUUUCCCAAAUUGUUAAUCAACUUUUAAAAAGUCAAAUAAGAACAUGAUGAUGUGACACUAUUGUACAUUGUUUUGGGUUUAACUUCAAUUAGGUUAAAACUUAAAAGAACAAGCCACUAUUAAGAUUGGCUUACACGAACAGAUGGGGCCAUAUGCUAAAAAUGGCUAGUCACCUGACAUGGAGGGCGCGAUCUGUGUACUAGAUUAUUAAGAGAUCCAGAGGUGGUAAACUUUUAUUACAAUAUUGCCACUGGAUCACAGAUCAAAUGCCUAACAACAUCCAAGGUCUUCGUCAUCCAUCCAAAACUAAGAGCCACUUUGGUGGGAUUUUUAGAGGCUCCGGCUCCUGUAGCUAGCGGGGUGGCAGAGGAGCCGGGGCUAGCUCCUCCGCUGUUGUGAGAGGGAGAGAGAGGAGAGAUAAAAGAAGCUCUAGUGAACGGUUAUGCUACAAUGUUGCUAUAGUAAUUCAUCAGGCGAGCCGGAGCCACGAUAAGCACAAAACUUAUCCUAAUUAACGCCACUCUCCACCAUCGCCCUGACUAUUCAGACACGAGGAGGAGUUUAUCAAACAAAUCGCCCUGAUAGCGACCCCCUCUGUCUGGAACAGGAGAUCCGGCCGACAGCCAAUAGUUAACAGACGGUCGACGUAUAGCAAGUGCAAAAAUAAAACCGAAGUGUCGCUGUUCCAGUGCAAGAGAAGAGAGCGACUGCUGAUUGCGAUCAACGCUUCAAUCAUAAGCUUUGGCUUUGCCUCUAUUGGUCAUCUUGGACUCUAGAGUCCGAUUAAAUAGGCCUUGUCGUCUCACGUGUACAAAGCCUGUUCCUAUCUCAAAGAAAAAAAGGAGGCUGUUCCUGAAAAGGCCGAGGCGUACGGGGGCUUUGAUUACUCGGUGACAUGCGUGGUUUCAGGGCAAGUGAGACAAGAACCUGAGUAGAGAUGCGGAUGCCAUGCCGUGAAGACGUACGCUACGCGUCGGGGCUCCCACCCUGCUGCCAGAGGUCCACAUGAGCCGCCCGGCGACGGUCGCCACCGCCACCAUCGGCAGUGGCGGCGCCGAAGCCAGCAGCCACGCACGCCUUCCUCCUCCCCUUCCCUCUCCCUCUACUCCCCUCACCUCCUAAGGUCGCCCGCUGUCGCCUCCCUCCCCCGCCCCAGCUCGUGCCGGUAGCCCUCUCCGCCUCGCCUCAUCCCUUCUCCUUCCUUCCCUUCCCCCUUCUCUUGGCGCCCGGGAAACCCUAGAUCUGGGUGGGUCCGGGACCACCUCCACCUCCGGUGCCGGCAGGCUACAGUGGGUCCCGCUGGGGUCGGGCUCGGCUACGCCGGCGCUGCCGCCGCCUCCCCAGCCUCCGGCGCUGGCAGGCUGCGGCGGGCGCCGAGGCUUGGCUUGACCGCACUUGGCCCGGCCAUCCCGACGGCCUAGGCCCUCGCCACUGGGUGGGGCCGCCGCCCCCGCGCCCGGCGUCGCCAUUGCCUCCGGUGCCUCCAUCUCCAGCGAGUCGACGGGCGCCGGUGCCGGCCUUGGCUGCUCCGGCAUCCUGGGCCACCGCCCUGUCUCCCGGUGCUCGUGAGGCGGGACGACUGUUGCUGUCGCGUCCGACGUCGCCGCUAUAGGUUGCCGCCGCUUGCUCUCCCCCACCUCUUCGUCGGUGCGGUGGCCAUGAGGUGGGCGUCUGCGGGAUUUCCAACUGGAGCGGCGCGGGCUCCAAGGUCGCUCUUGUUUCUUUUCCUUCUCCCUUUACCCUGGCCGUGCUCCAGUCGCUCCUGCUGAUGGUUGUCGCUCGUGAGGCCAUGCCUCCUCCAGUCGUCUUCUUCGCUGGCGGGGUUGGGAGGAUGAGUCUUCAUCCUCCCCAUGGUGCUUCGGGUCGCUGCCAUCCCUCGGCGGCUGCUGCUACCACGGGUCGUCCCGUUCGUCGCCAUCAAGUGUUGCUGGGAGGACGGAGGGCUCUGGCUACCCCCUCUCCUCCCGUGGUGGUCUUUUGGUUGUUGCGGUUGCUACUGGUCGUCUGUGGGUCGUCGUGAUGGCGAUCGUUGGUCUGCGGAUAUUCCCCAUCGUCAUCGCCGUGGAUUACUCGCUAUCAUACCAUCGAUUUGGCUCUUAUCCAGGCCUUGGAGGUCAGCGUGGGGAGUUGGUUUUGGGGCCUUAGCGAAAGUUUUGCCCGGCAUUUGCCAGUGUCAACAACGGUUGCGUUCCUUAACGUAGCUCAUCUCGCUAGGGGUGUUGUUGUGACCGCCAAAUCCAUUUGGUGGAUUUUGUCAGGUGAAAACUUAGUCUGCUCCUCCGUGGAUAGAAGGAUGAUGGCGGCGUUGGCGUUGCUCCCCCCUUGGAGGUAUCGUCUUGCACGACAUUCUCGCUCUACCUCUGCAGGCUCCAGGUUGUUAGGCAAUCGAUGAUGUGCGUGUGUUCUUGGUGACUUUUUCUCCUGCAGGUUUAAGUCGUUUUAGGUCAUGUUUAGUGUGGUGGUGGUGCUGGAGUUUUCUUUUUUUUUUUGUUGCGUUAUGAUGGUUAUUGUAACUUUGCGCUUUGGGAUCUCACCUGAAAUUGUUUAGUUAUAAUUCUCUUCUACUUAAUGAAAAAUGUGCUAUGCACGUCUAAAAAAUGAAGACGUUCGCCUGCUUGGCUUGGCUGCUGUCACAAGCUAAGGAUAGCGACUUGGUCCGGCACAGGCAUGCUGUGCUACCUACUAGCUGGUGACUGAUUAUUUAGGGCCGGGUGAUGGGUUAAUUUCCAGUGGUUUAUUGUGUGUCGGCUGGCGUCUCUAACAAUGGACUAAGACCGAAACGGAACUGAUUACUUUAUAAAAACUAGCAACUUCUCUUAGGCCCUAUUUGGCAGUUUAUUUUUUUUAGCUUCUCGUUAUGCCAAAUGACAUGAUUCUUCAGCAACUUAUCAAUAAGCAUAAUCGAGAAUAAAAUAGAUGAGCAUAAUAAGUUUUUCACCAGCUUCUUCAGUAAACAAAAUCUGCACCAGACCAGACAGGGUCUUAAAAUACUGAGUUCUUCGAAGCCUCAAGAAUUUAAUUUAUCAAUGGCAUCGUCCCUGGACAUGCAAUGUUCCAUAUGCCAUCAUUUUCCCAACCUCUUGACGGUAGCUGAUAUUGUUGCAUGUGCCCCUCGAUAUGACGCAACGAACACGGUCCUCCAAAGCAAGGGGAAUGAUGGCCAUAUUCUUCCUUUGGUGUCGGGUUUCUCUUUGGCUAUCACUGUGGUCUGCCACGGUCUACACUCUAGUGCUCUACACAUCUAGGAUACUGCAUUGUAACAACUAACAAGAAGAAACUAGAUUGACCUAGUAUACUAGGGGUGUUUGGAUACGAGGUGUUAAACUUUAACAGUAUCACAUCGGAUGUUCGGAUGCUAAUUAGGAGAACUAAACAUGAGUUAAUUAUAAAACUAAUUGCAGAACCCUGUGCUAAUUCGCAAGACGAAUCUAUUAAGCCUAAUUAAUCCAUCAUUAGCUAAAUCAUGGACUAAUUAGGCUUAAUAGAUUUGUCUCGCGAAUUACACUCCAUCUGUGCAAUUAGUUUUGUAAUUAGACUAUGUUUAAUACUCCUAAUUAGCAUCCAAAUAUCCGAUGUGACGGGUGUUAAACUUUAACACCUUGUUGCCAAACAAGCCCUAAACCAGAAACCCAAUUGCAUUAGCAGAGUGGUCGUUGGGGCACUUCACCUACUGGGGUUGAAAUCAUGAUUUUUACCUAUUUAGAUACAUGCAAGAUUGAUGGUUAUUAGUUAUUACGCGUGUCUUUUGUUAAACAAGUCAAAAAGCUAUACUUCACUGGAAAAUGUUUGUUAUCGAUCUUUACAUAGGUUCUUUGUUUUCUUAAAUGAUGGGCCUUUAAUUGUUAAAAUCAUUUACAAUAAUAAAGCCUUCCUCCACCCAAUCCUUUACAAAACAAUCCGUGCAAUAUGUUCUUUCCUAAGUUAUACCCUGGUGAGCUAAAAUGACCCGUAUGUUAUCAUUACUUAGCACUAAAAUAUAGUUGAUGGAACGACUGAUUUACUCCCUCAGUCUUAUAAAAAUAUAAAACGUGGUCUAAUAUAGUCUCUGAAACCAAGUACGUGACUCUUAAUUCGUCAUAUACUUGAUGUUUGUAGAUUUCGUCAUAUACUUGAUGUUUGUAGAACAAAAUCACAACCUUAGGGAAAUAUUAGAAAAUGCUAGUCCAAUGAUACCAUUUACAUAAAAACAAAAUGUACGUUACAUGAAGCUAUUUGUUGGUAAAAAGUAAAAACUAUUAAGUUUGGAUUUUAGAACAUGUGCACCCUUAUAUUUUGGGACAAGACAAUACUAAAUAUUAAAAUAAUUCAUUUCUUUGGUUCUCUCUCCUCAGUCCUCACUCCUCUGUGUCACAUGAGAACCAACACGGUUGAGAUACGAGGCGACUACAAGACAGUCGACGUGGGCCAGUUAAAACGCCCGUGCCAUGUGCCGCUCUUGUUCCACGGGGUACAUGGUCCAUGCACGCCAGAUCCCAGCGUGCACCGAUGGGGCCCCGGUCGCAAGGCUCGCACCACUGCAGCGGCUUGGCCUCCCAAAGCGAUCCGCCGUCCGUACGCGCACCGAACCGACUUGGGGCUGGUAGUGACACGCUCUUAUCCGACAGGGCAUGGGGCCUCCGGGCUUUGAAUGACCUAAUUAUCAGGUACCGAGUCCAUUGGGUGCUCAAAACGGGUCUCUGUCUUGGUAUCUUUGCACUUCAGCGCUCCAUCCCAGACAGACAACAGCAUGAGAUUCCAAGACAAUUGUCCGAGGCUUGGAGCUGUGCACAUCUGUUCUCUACCGGGAUUCUGCGCAGACCACACGUGAACCGUGAAACCUUUAUGCUAAACAAAGCUUUCAUGUAGACUAUGGCCCAACACAUGCAAAAACUGAAACUAAAGUUGCCUACUGUAUAUCUGUAUGUUAGUAUGUACAAAUGUAAGGCUUGUUAAACUAAAGCUGCUAGGUGCUUAUUGUUGCCAAUUUUUUUGCUCGCGUGUACGUCGCCGUACAUGUCGCACUUAAUGGCCAUGCACGCACGCAUAAGCUUUAUCCUGAUUGAUGUGCAGAUCAUGAUGCCGAUUAAGCUUAGAAUCAGGGAAAAAGGAGCACGCGCCUACCUCUCUGGCACUGAAUUGCUGAAAGCCUGCCUUUGCAACCGGUCCACCAUCAUUGGGACAUUGGCUAUGCUCUCAUUAGCGGCGUUGAUUCUUUUUUGUUCCCCAAAGCUUCCUUCGAUCCUUGACAAUGACCCUCCUACGUGCUGUACUAAAUUUGCACUGCCAAUAAUGGUAGGGACGAUGAUCACCGUGUCAUCAGCUUGCCUAAAAGAAAAAAAAAGUGCCCGUGUUCCUUUCGACAGCGCACGACGCUAUUGCCGUUCCAUGCAAAGGCGAGGUCGUUCAGGAGCUCCUCCUCAUGAGACCACAGGAUCAGAUUUGGCACUUGGCGUAGACAGUCAGGACAGGGGUAUAGCUAGGUAGAGCAUGGUGUAGGGACUCGGCCGGUGGUAGGCCCAUAGCUAGCUUCAUGGCUGCGCAAUUUCGAUCUAUGCCACUAUGAUUGACCUUGAGGACGCCAUCUAUCGCUGGCCUGGAGCUGCCCUAAAUUGACAGGCAAUAUCAAUCUCGAAGUGACCAAUUUCAAAUCUGCCUGGCUCCAAAGCCAUGCCAAGAUCCGAAGGGGAGAACCAUCCUUAAACUUCCCAAAUAAAAUCGCGAUCUGGCUAUUGGUACAUCAGUACAUGCAUAUCCCCCAACCCAAUCCAUGCUCGUCGGAAUCCUUGGCCUCCCGUCUGCCCGUCCUGCUGCCAUGCUCGCCGACGCUGGAGUUGGAGAGUGGAGAGCGGUCGGCGGCAACACCUCGCCGCUGUUCCUGCCUUUACAUCACGUCAACACUGCAAAGGCAGGCGGCACGCGAGGGCGCGGCACGGCGUGGGGGGUGGGGGCGCGUGCGCGUACCCGGUACGUGCCGCGCCUUUUAAAGGAGAGACGAGAGAGCUGGGGGCGCUGGCCGCUGGGGGAUUCAUCAGGCCGAGCCGAGACGACGGACGAGAGGAGUGGAGGGGAGCGCCAAUCGGCCUGUUCGCUUCAGCUUAUUCAACCGGCUUAUCAGCCACCAAACAGUGUUUUCCUCUCACAACAAAUCAGCCGUUUCAGCUUUUCAGCCGGCUUAUAAGCUGAAGCGAACAGCCCCAAUGCGCCAUGCGCCAGGCCGGAGGGAGGGGCCCCGGCUCAGCUGCUCCUCUGCCGAUGCCGUCGUCUCAGCAGCAGCACGGCCGCGCUGCCAUCUCUGGCUCUCGGUCCUCUGCCCCUCGGCAGUUCGUCAGUGAUUCAGCGCCAUGUGCCCGUGCCCAGUCGCUGCCUGUCCUCGCGCGCAUCCGGAUGGCAAUCAUAAAAGUGAGAUGCAUUGGGCGGAUACCGGAGGAUACUACUGCGGGGCUGAGCUGCUUGCUGGCGCCCUGAGCUAGUGAGCUGGGGGGGGGGGGGGGGGGGGGGUCGCGAUUUUUUACAUGCCCGCCCGUCCAGUCCACUCCGACUUUUGGGGCGCUUUGGGGCAGGGGAAAGCACGUCAUGUGCGUGCACGAAAGGGGGUGUUCAGGAAUCAGGAUCCGAUGAAGGGGGGAGGCCAACAAGGGGAAGCGUUCCGUUCCGGCUGAGACCCGAGCUGAACUCACCUGCUCUACGCCUCGACCUUGAAGUGGCCAAAUGGACGUGACUAGACGGGGCCUGCUUCGUUGUACUCAACACCACCGUCUUGUUUGACAGCGUAGAGGAAGAGGGGGUUGAAUGCUUGCUUCCUUUUCGAACUCCGUUGUUUAAUGGCUGCCUGAUACUGGCUUGUCUGCCGAAAUCGGGCAUCCGUAGGUGCUAAACAUGCCUGCCAUGUCUACCAAAGUCCAAAAUCGGGCAUAAAUAGGUAGAAGGCAUGCUGAUAUUGGGCAAGUGCUCUGGGGCCUGGCUGCCUGGGGGGUCCGGAGAUUGGUGAACUGUACGACACCAAGGACUGGGGGGAGGAUCAAUUUACUAUUGGCCUUCACUUUUCCACUUUAUCCGAAGACAAAACUAACAAGAUAGUAAAAUGUACCGGCGUGUUUAAACUUGUCCUUUGGUCUUUAAAACUGGCUAAAUGUCACUUGAGAUCUAAAUCACCAUAAUUAGCAAGUAACUACACAUGUGUCACUCACUAUGGAGUCCAAGACAUCCCUAGGCUCUAUUAAGUGCUCAUGAUCAUUGUUGUUAUCAUGUGGCGUGCGAUGGUCUAUUAAGAUGAUAUCAUUGGACAAGUGUAAUGACUCGACGCAACGGUGAAUAUUAUAUUUACCUUUUGUGAGAAGGCCCCGCACUACACUAAUUUGUUUACGUUAGAUUUCAAGUAAUGUUUCUUUGAGCCAGUGCACGCAAACAAAAAAAAAAAAACAAGUUCUCCGUGCCUUGUCCAAUUCAUAGUAAACUAGGAUUUCAUUUUAGGCCACUAGUGACCGACAGUUAUGAUCCAAAAAAAUUAACUAGCAAAUCACAGUGGAAGCACUAAAAAAAUCCGCAACUGAUCGUGCAUUUGGUUUGUCGGAAUAUGGUCAGCGCCGGGCCACAGGUUUAGGGGUUGCAACUUGCAAGUUUUACAGAAGCACGAGUUGACAUGACAUGUUCAUAAAGCAUCCUAUCUCCAUCCUUGCCUUAAUUUCAGACUUUUGUCAAUCUGGAGCUAUUCCAUAGAGUGGCCAUCUUUUAAUUGGACCAGCGUCUUACUAUAAUUUGUGCUACCAUUUAUGCUGAUUCCUACCUCCCAUAGUCCAACAACGGCAAGCCCAGCCAAACUUUUUCACCAAUUAGACACCUCUAUAAGCUACAAAGUAGCAGGACCCCAUGGCGAGUGAGAGUGACUACCCGUCUACCCGCCCCUGAGCACCACACAGGCAACCACCCGCACCCGUCAGGCCCGCCCUGCGAGUUCUGUGACCAUCCUGGUAGUUCUAGUCAAAGCUACAUUUCAGGCAGCGGCAGGAUGUCGCGAGUGCAUCCAGCGCAAGAGCGAAGAGCGCAGGGGAAAGGCAGAACAGGCCAACAGGGGACGAUUUUCCCAUGCGUGGGAUGGGAAGACGGAAGAGGAAGAGAGGCUGUGUAGGUCAUACAAUACCUUCACGGCUUCAUGUGCGGUGCGGCUGAUUCACGGAGCAGCAGAGGCGACACGGUACAGGCCAUAUACUUCCAAACGGGCAAUCUUUUCUUUUGCGCGCGCGUGUGUCACUGGGAACUUGGCACUGUCAGAACCGCGGAAAUGGAGCGAAGCAAACAGCGAGCCUCCCUUGGCGUUCCCAUGUGGCCUCCAGUUGGAUUCUUCUUCGUCACAGCCGGAAUUUUCGGGCAGGGAUCGGCCCUGUCCUCACCACCAUUUCUCAUGCACAGUAAAAAUAUCUAUUUCAGGCGACCAGUCUAAGAUUAUAGACGCAGUGAGAACAUCUCUAGUUUCCUUAGCAAAAGAAGCAUCGGUUUAUUUCGCUUAUGGAACGGUGAGCAUCCUUGCUUAUUUACUGCUGAUGCCGCAGCAACUUUCUACUCCCAUCCGCUCCAAAAUGCACGUCGUUUUAGCUUUUCUAAGCUCAUAGACUUUGUUACGUAUCUAGACAUAAUCUUAUACUUAGGUAUAGCAAAAUCUAUAGUAUAUAUCUAGAAAAAUCAAAACGACCUACAUUUUGAAACGGAAAAAGCAUAAACAUGCAAUCAACCAUGAAGUGCCUUUUACAGUUGAUGAGAAGGCUCAAGGCUAUCAUGUGUGGCGCUUUUACUCUCUUUUUUCCAAUUUUUUUGAAACGAAUCAGAUAGGAAAGUUGCCGAUUAUAUUAAAAGAAGAUGAAGUUCAGAUCGAGCAAAAUAACAAAUGGAAAAAAUAACACAAACACCGGCAGGUUGGAUCAACACAUGUCGCACCACGCCAACACACUCAAAUCAACUCAACAACACAUCAGCCGGUUGGAUUGGGACAUCAACGCAGCCGCACCACUCCACUCGACAAACGGCACCAGAACCCGAAGCCUUACCGCGGUACCCACCAACAUUCUCACGCUCAAGUAAUCGUCGAAACCUCCAGGUAUGACCCCGCAUCGACAGGGAACCGAGAGAAACAGAUCGCACCGCACCGAGAAGGCCACCGCCAUGCAUCAUCUAACGCCGUAGUGCCAUUGUAACAUCCCACCCCACCCGACAGAGUGAUAUCACCAGAUCUGGACCUCUCGCAGGCUGCCUCACAGUCGCCACUGUGGAAAACACAAACGCGCGGGAGCUUCGCCACUCCCGCCGUUGGACUCCACUUGUCGCCUCAAGAAUCACCACACGCGAGGACCUCGCCACGUCUGUCACAGUGCUCCAAGUCGCGGAUCUGUUUCUUAUGUUGCCAUUAAAAUGAUGAGCAAUGCUGCCCCACUUCCCAAGGUCUCCAUCAAACAGCCAAACUACCACCGCAGAUCGACUUCGCCUCGUUGCUUCACUGCAUAUAUAGCCUUCGCCGCCAUGCCAGCAUGCUAAGGAAGUCGCUUGCACCGUCUUCCGACGAUGUACCACACCGGAGCAGCCAAGGCUGAGCAACCCACCGUAGUCCGUUGCAAGUCUAGUCGUCCCACGAUGUCGUUGCUGCAAGCGUCGUUCUUCGACGCAGUCCCACAUCACACUGACAGCCGCCAAGCAACGCCAGCCGCUGCAAAAAAGCAGCCAAAUCGACACCCAUGCGACAAUCCCUGGCUGCCACCAUAACUGCAAUCGCCUCCACAUGAGUUCGACAAACCCCGUCAAGCUUGCCAUCCUGCACUAAGUUGCCUUGCCGCGCUGCCAGCCUGUCACGUCGGAACAGCCGCCACCGGCUGCUGCCUCCCAUGACCAACAACGUCACCAUCAAUGCCACAGGCUGAGGUGGGUCUCCAGAGACGACGCCUCUAAGGAGGUGAUGACACCAAUGGCGCCGCCGUCGCUCGUCUAGAAUCUGGAUAGGGUUUUCACCCAGAGAACCCUGUGCAAUAGAGAUGGGCUCCAAGAUGACGCCCACAACGGGAAGAAUGACACCCUAGGACGCCGUCGCCAUUACCACCAGCAGCAUCACCAGCAGAGGCUUUUGCCCAGACAAUCCCAUUCCUAUCUGCACGCUCACAACGCGGCAAACCUAGGACCGCAGCCACGGAAGGCCACCCGGGGACGGCACCGCUGCCGUGCCUCCUCAUGCCGCCUCUCUGCCAUCUCGCUCCCUGGUGUUGCCUCCUCCCAGCUACACCUAUGCUGCGCACCCUUGCACCCAGCGACCCGCACGUGCUGUCGUUGUGUUGCCGCUAGCGCGCAUCCGCGGUCCAUGCCGGCAGCCUUCCACGCGCCUCAUCACCGCCACCGUGCCUCCUCGCGCCGCGAGCGCUGGCCCGCCGCCGCUCUGCCUCAUCAGCAUGCGAUGGGCCCCUACCGCGCGGCCUCGUCGCCGGUUGCCGCCAUCGCAAGGCCUCGUUGCCUCGUGCCGACCGCCACCGCUUACUGCCUCCUUGCCCCGCGGCGGGCCGCGCACGGCCACACGCCUCGCGCCGGCCGUCGCCCUCCUCGUCUGGCCGCCGCUGCGCCAGGUCGCCGCUACACCAACACCGGGAGAAGUCUCAGCUGCCGCCGCAGGCGACGGAUCCGCCAUCGAGGGCUACGGAUCCAACAGCAGAGGCCCCGGAUCCUCUCCGAUCGCCGGCGCCACGCCUCAAACUGUCGUGGCCGCCACGUCCCUCGCAGCUCCGAAGCGUCGCUACCUUGGCCCGCUGCACCGCGACCGCCAUCACCUCCACGCUUGCUCGCCCCGGGUGCGCGGCCACUGGAUCCGGCUGAGGUUGCGCUGGAUCCGUAACCACCUGCCAGCGCCGCGGCAAAGGCCGCUCGCGCCGGCAAGCACCUCAGGUGGUCGGGACGUCCGCGUCCGCCACGAAUCACCCAAGGCACGGGAAGAAGGCCACGCCGCCGCCGUCAUGGCCAGCCACACGGGCUUCCGAAGGCCCGCUCUGGUGGCGGCGUGAUGGAUGGAAGCGGGUGGGGAGGAGGGGGCGGCGACUAGGGUUUGGCCACCCGAGCCGCCUGCGCGGGGGCAACACGAGCGGGAUUCAACUCACCCCAGCCCUUUUGUUUUUUGAAUAUUCACAGAAGCCUUUCUUUUUUCCAUUUUAAUUUUCAAGAAAAGCCCUUCUCUGGGGCAGACAACUCCUUGCAUCACGGCCUUGAAGACUUUCAGGUAGAUGUGACCAUGCCUAGUUGCAUUUGUCUCCCGUUAGUUUAUAAUCUUGCUGUGUAGAUUUCUUUAUCCUCCAUUCAAAAUCCAAAUAUCCUGACGGCUGUCUGUUGUCUAUUAUCUGCAACCACAUCUAUGCUUCUUCCUUUAAUAAUUGAACUAAUUAACAAGUGUAUCCGUUGAGAGCCAUCAGAUCAUAUGGACCUACAUGUUUCACAAUAAUGUCUGGUGCCUUUGUCUCCGUGCGGCGGACCUAAAAUGCAACGGAGGCCACUAACAUGAUAUAAAUGAUAAGAACAUAUUCAUACCAUUAAGAUGCAUGCAUUGAUCUAAGAAAAAGGAUGGAUUGCAUGGUUCAAUAGGCACUGCAUUCAAUCGGCCUUAGGGGGUGUUUGGAUACGAGGUGUUAAACUUUAACAGUGUCACAUCGGAUGUUCGGAUGGUAAUUAAGAAAACUAAACAUGAGCUAAUUAUAAAACUAAUUGCAGAACCCUGUGCUAAUUCGCGAGACGAAUCUAUUAAGCCUAAUUAAUCCAUCAUUAGCAAAUGGUUACUGUAGCACCACAUUAUCAAAUUAUGGACUAAUUAGGCUUAAUAGAUUCGUCUCGCGAAUUACACUCCAUCUGUGCAAUUAGUUUUGUAAUUAGUCUAUAUUUAAUACUCCUAAUUAGCAUCCAAAUAUCCGAUGUGACGGGUGUUAAACUUUAACACGUGAUUGCCAAACAGGCCCUUAGUUUAGUUGCAUGUUGGCAUACGUUCCUGUGGCCCUUUGCUAACUGCUAAGGACCAGGGAGGCGGGACGUUUUUGAGAUGUCAUCACAAGUGGAUAUGCACAAGUAUUGUGAAGAGAGAAAGCGCCCAUGAUCUCACCUGCAUACAGAUAGGAUGAGCUGAUAAGACCACCUGGCUGUUUUGAAUUGCCUCCCGUUGUCAGGAGUCUUUUGGUCGUGGACUGCAGUAGGGGAAAAGUUAAUUUUUCACCUGUAGACGGUAAUGUAUUUUUCACCAAUUAUGAUGCACAUGCAGGAAUGCAGAGCAGCCGAUAGAGACUACAGCAUCAGGCACUGUCUUGUUCGAUAGCUCUAAAAUUAUAAUGACGUAAUCGCUUUGAUUGAUCCCUACAGUUCCAGGACAAAUAUGGUGCCAUGCCUCGGGUCUGGCUACAGGUCUACACUGAUGAGUCAAAGAAACACCAUACGGGCCACAGGAAAAGCUAUUAUCAGCUGACCAGUAUAUAAUAGAGUAGACCAUGAUUCCGAUAGUGGAAGGGUGCAUCAAACAAAAAUCCACACCAAAUGAGUGGAUCGUCCAUUCCAGUAAUCUAUUACUCACUUAACCCAGACCCUUGCAGAAAAAGACAGUAUCGGGGUGUGCACAGCUUUAUGAUACUACCAUCUGAGCAUACAAUUCUCUCCAUUCCGCGGGAGACCCUUUCAAGACAAUACCACUUUACUACAGCUGGGAAUGUGGGUGCAAGAAAGGUACAAAAGUAUGUUCUUAUAGCAAACACUGUGGUCCGCUUUGCAGUUCGUUUGAUCAUCAUCCACCAGGAAAGGGGAAAAUAAAGUUAGUGCAAAACUAGCCUUCGUGGAUUACUUAGUGACCAUUUUUGGUGUCAUGAACCACAGGCAGAUCUUUUCAGGUUGAGUUGUUUAAGAAAAUAAUACAUUAAUUGUGGGAAUUAGAGGAAGGAGGGAAGCAUACUCACUUACUCAGGUUGGAAGUAUCUUGUAAAUAUGUUGGCACUUCUAUUUCCAAUAGAAGGCCUAGCAGAAAAAUCCCUUGGGCCAGGUCAGGACAGGUCAGGAUAAGAGGCCCAGUAAAGAUGCAGUAUUUCGCCCCAACUAUCAACUGCAAACUAUUCUGUUAAGCACAAUUGCAAAUUAAUGGGAACAGUAACCAGUAGGCCUAAGAGAGGAAUCAAUUAACAAAGUUCAAUUCUUACCGAGCAUUAGAAUGUGUUCUGACUCUAUGUGGACUAUGGAUAAACUUACGAAGUUUGAACCCUUCCAUCCCUCUUGAAUGGGCUUUUCGAGAUAAGUUCAGUAACAGGAAAUAGGGGAUUUCGGACCAAUGCAGUAACAGCAAAGUAGUUUUACAUGAUACGGUAUGUUGGAUAAGAUAGGCUGUAACUUAAAGUUAUUAUUUUGCAACAUACAUAAGGAGAACAAAGGAGUAACAAACAGAAAAAAAAAUCCUAAUAAGUGAUCUAAUCCUUUUGGCCAUAUAGAAAUGGAAGAACUAUUAUACUCCUAAACAACUGAUAACGUAUUAGGCCAAGCAAAUGGUGGAAUAAGUGCAAUAUAAUUAACCUAGAGAUACAUGCAUAGCACUGAAAUGGAACAGGUUGAUAACGUAUUAGGCCAAGCAAGGAACAGGUGGUUUCACAAUUGCAAAGGUUGUACCCAGAAAAAUGGAAUUGGGAACUGGAAGACAAUGAAGAUAACACCUUCAUUACUAUAUUCCCCUCAAAGUCUGAACUUUAGAGGGCAAUAGCUUUUGGAGGGGUUGAUGUUAGAGAAAAUGGAGUACAGACAGGUGUGAGGUUACAAUUUGAAACUUGGCAAGAGAAAGAGGAGGGAUUCCUUCUACCUAAAGUUUGGGUUAGAGUACACGGGCUAAGAAAAUCACUACGGGAGUAUAUGAAUUUGUGGGCAAUAGGUUCAAUGUUGGGAUCUACCCAAACCGUGGAUAUGAAGAUGACUAGGAAAAAUGAAUUUGGAAGGAUAUGUGUGGCAGUCCUUAACCCCUUACUUAUCCCCCCAUAUUUGGAUGUGGUGAUAGGGGAUCUAGAAUUUAAGGUGGAAAGGAAGGGGACUGAUGAGAAUGGAGAGGAAGCAAUUUUUUAUUGGAAGGGAGACGCAGAAGGAGAGGAUGAGGGAGAUGACAGUGAGGAUGACCUCUUGCAGGAUGACCUAGAUAUGAUCAGAGAAAUAAAACGAAGGAAAAAUUAUAGUGAGUUCAAAGAGAAGGAAGGUAGUAGUACAGAAUAUAUGCAGGAGGAGCAGGGCUGGACAGAUAAGGGAUCAUGGAAGGAUAAAGUUUAGAAGAUGAAUGAAAUGGAGUUUAAUCUGUUUCUUAAGGAAAAGGCAGAGGAAAUAAUGGAUAGAGCAUUGGACAGAACUUUGGAGGGUCUGACAGAUCAGGUUAUGAAUGACCAAAAUGAAAACCAUGAGGGGGAGAGCAGCUAGGAGGAGGAAGAGGGAACAAAUGAACUGAACAAGAUGGCUGCAAUUCCUGAGGCAGUAAUGACACCAGCAAGGGCUAGUCCAAGAUUGGCUAACUCAGGAGAUGAGCACAUUCUUGCUAAGACAGAAGAUGGCUGCUAGGAAAAAUCUGGAGCUCAAUGAAGGUAAUUCUGAAUCUGAACACUGCUUUCAUUUUCCUUUGAAUAAUGCUAUAUGUAAUGUUAGCCACCUAGGGGUUAAGUUGGGUGAGAAUGAAAAGGAGAAGGAAAGGGUAGUAUAAGAAAUUCUCACAGUACAAAUGAGAGGUAUGGAUCAACAUGUAGAGGUAGAUAAUCAAAGUGAAAGUAAUCUGAAUAGUGAUAGGGAGGAGGAGGAGAGGGAAGAAAUAGAAAUACCUUUGCGGGGAACUUUUGGAAGAGGUUUUUGACGAUGAUGGUAGUUACAUUGAUUUCUACUCUAAGAUGGGAAAACACAAGUCUUGUGCUAAGUCACAAAAGAGAAAGACUUGUAAGGUCAAAAUAUCCAAAGUCAAUGUCAAUACUGUUUCCAAAUGAGAGGAAUCUUCUGGAACAGCAAAGGUCUUAGUGACUUGGCUAAAAUAAGAUUUCUUUCAGAAACAUCUAAAGAGCAGAACUUAGCUUUCAUUGCUCUUCUAGAAACAGGAAAAAGAGAUUUUACCCAAGGCACUCUAAGUAAUUUGUGUGGGAAAAAAAAUUUAAUCUGGCAUUGGACUGAACCACGUGGAAGAUCAGGGGGUAUCCUCCUAGGAGUGAAUCUAGAUGAGUUAGACAUUGGUAGUAUUGAUGAAGGAGACUUUUAUGUGAAAUUCAAAGUAAGGACAAGAAAAGACAAUUUUCAGUUUGUGCUGGUGGCUAUUUAUGGAGCAACACAACCAGCAUUUAAAGAAGCUUUCCUGACGAGCUGGUGCAUGCCUGUAGCAAAGAGAACCUUCCCAUUGUCCUUGGGGGAGAUUUAACAUCAUAAGAAACCCAGGUGAAAAGAACAAUGAAAGUUAUGAGGAUAAAUGGCCAUUUCUUUUUAAUGCUAUCAUAGAUAGCUUAAACUUAAAGGAGAUUCAUAUGUUAGGAAGAAAGUAUACAUGGGCUAAUUCCUUAAAAAAUCCAACUUAUGAGAGAUCGGACAGGGUGUUGGUUAGUACAGAAUGUGAAGAGAAGUUUCCUUUAGCUAUGGUUGAUGCCUUGAGCAGGGAAAUUUCAGAUCAUACAUCUUUAUUGCUUAACACUGGACAUGAAGUGGUGAGCAGGAGCCGACACAUGUUUAAGUUUGAACUAAGCUAGCUUUUGAGGAAAGAUUUCUUUGAGCUAGUAGCUGAUGUGUGGAGUAAGGAAAGAAAAGGUUCCAAUCCUAUCCAGAAAUGGCAAAACAAGAUUAGAAGGCUAAAGCAAUUUUUGAGAGGAUGGGCAAAAAAUCUAAAUGGAGAGUAUAAAAAAGAAAAACAAGAGCUACUUAAAAGGGGAAAUGAGCUAGAUAAAAAGGCAGAAUCACAACAGCUAAGUCAGCAAGAAAGUGAUUUAAAGCAAUGCAUUCAAGAUAGAAUAGUUCAGCUCCUAAGAGAGGAAGAAAUAAAAUGGUAUCAAAGGACGAAAAGCAAUAAGAUAGUAAAUGGAGAUAACAACACAAAAUAUUUUCAUAUGGUAGCUAAUGGCAAAUACAGGGAAACAAGAAUUUUUAGGCUGGAACAGAACAAGGGCAUUACAGAAGGGGAUGACAAUCUUAAAGAAUACAUGACUAAGUAUUACAAAGGACUAUUUGGAUCUCAAUCAAGGAAUAUUUUUCUAUGAAUGAAUCCUUGACGGAGGAUAUCCCUCAAGUAUCAAGAGAAGAAAAUGAAAUCUUGACUGAAAAAUUCACAGAAAAGGAGGUCAGAGAAGCUAUCUUCCAAAUGAAACAUAACAAAGCUCCGGGGCCUGAUGGAUUCCCAGUAGUGUUUUACCAAGUAUUUUGGAGUCUCAUUAAAGAUGACCUAAUGGCCAUGUUUGAAGACUUCCACAAAGGCAAUCUAGUAUAGUUUAAACUUUGGGAUAAUAACUCUAAUCCCAAAACUUGAGGAAGUAAAAAUAAUCUAACAAUAUAGAUCAAUAUGUAUGUUAAAUGUCAGUUUCAAAAUUUUCACAAAGGUGAUGGCCAAUAGAUUUUCUCUGGUGGCUGAUAAAGUUAUCAGGCCAUCACAGACUGCUUUUCUACCUGGGAGGUACAUUAUGGAAGGGGUAAUUAUACUUCACGAAACUAUACAUGAGUUGAGUAAGAAAAUACGGGAUGGAAUCAUUCUCAAAUUGGACUUUGAGAAAGCCUAUGACAAGGUUACUUGGCCUUUUCUUCAACAGGCGAAAUGGUGUGAGUGGAUAGAGAAUAUAGUCAGUAGGGGAAGUGUGGGGGUAAAGGUAAAUGAUGAUAUUGGACACUUCUUCCAGACAAAAAAAGGACUUAGACAGGGUGAUCCCUUAUCGCCAGUGCUGUAAAGCUAACAACCAAAUAAAGGGCCUAGUGCCCCAUCUCGUAGAUGGAGGAUUAUCUAUCCUUCAGUACGCAGAUGACACAAUACUCUUCAUGGAAAAUGAUUUAGAGGAUGCAAAAAACUUGAAAUUGGUAUUAUGUACCUUUGAAAAACUGUCAGGCCUCAAAAUUAAUUUUCAUAAGAGUGAAUUGUACUGCUUUGGGGAGGCAAAAAACCAAGUUAAGGAUUAUGUAGAGAUAUUUGGAUGCAAGGAAGGAACACUACCAUUUAAUAUAUUGGAAUUCCAACGAUGCAUCGCAGAAUUGCAAAAAAAGAUUGGAAAAUGAUUGAAGAAAGAUUUCAGAAAAAUUUAGCAAGUUGGAAGGGCAAAUUAAUGUCAGUGGUAGGUAGGUUAGUACUAAUAAAUUCUGUCCUCUCAAGUUUACCAAUGUUUACGAUGUCCUUUUUUGAAUACCUAAAGGUGUUCUUAAAAGAUUGGAUUAUUAUAGAUCUAGAUUCUUCUGGCAAAGUGAUGAACAUAAAAAGAAAUAUAGGUUGGCCAAAUGGAGUAUCCCAAAGCCAGAUUCAUAUGGAGUACAAUAUUCUUUUCGUUUGGAGUUCAACCACCAGUUAGUGUUCCUAAUAUGCUGGGACCUUGGGCUAGAGGGUUUCCUCGGAAAGUUAGAAACCAGAUGAUUAUAGGAGCGGCUGCUCUCUGCUGGGCUACGUGGUUGAAUAGAAAUGAUGCACUGUUCAAAGUCAUGAUCACUAAUUCCUUUUUGCAGGUAAUCUUUAGAGGGACCUAUUGGACAAGAGUAUGGGUGGGCGGUGCUAUCAAAGGAGGAAGAGAAAAAUGAAAUGAAGAACUGUAAUAGGCUUGAAGGCACUGCCUUGGAGUUCUUCAACAAGUUUGGCUGGAACUUCAGAAGAAGAAUUCUUCAGUAGCAGGAUGUUCAACGCUGGAGAAAGUCUCAGAACCCUGAUUAGUGUUAAGGAGUCAUAUUAGUAGUCUUAUUUUUGAGUGAACUGUGAGUCUCAAGGGUAGUAUUGCUAGAACGGCUUAAGUGCUGAGUUUCUAUCUUCUUGGUGUAAUUUUGGCUUCAGGCAUUGAUUCGUGGAUGACCGAGGCCGGAUAUUUUCCUUAAUCUAAAAAAACAUGUAUGGCACUGAAAUAGAGAGAUUGAGUUCCUCUAGUUCCAGAACACAGACCUGAUAACCUCAGCCAGAACCGCAAGCAAACAAUAAGUCUUAGGGGAAAAUAUAUUAUAAACGGACAAAGCACACAAAUUUAAGUUUAUUAAUGAAUGAAGUCAACCAUUUGCUUUGACAUGCAUGGAGUUUGGUAAAUAAUCUCUUAAUCGUACACAGAUGCUUAUUUAUGCCGAGUAUACAUGAAUAUUGCCCAGGGAUAACAUUAUAACAUGGACUAGACAUUGUAUGCCGAGUGUUCCCCAAAAGGCCAGAAGGAACCAUUCAUACUGUAGGAAUCUUCAGCCUGCAAGAUUUGUGCGGCAACAGUUUUAGUGCCUAAAGUCAAAUAAGGUAAAUGUUGGGAACAGUAUAUAUGUUUCGCUCAUAUUCACACGUCACUUGAAAUACCAAAAGGCAAGGCAUGCCACGCACGACAAAUGGAAAAGACAGAUGCGCAAACCAACAGCUCAAGAAAUAAAAUUCAGUUACUAGUACUACAUUACACCAUGGUAACAUGUAAGUGCAACACCAGGCAAACGUUUAGUGGAACAAAUUGGAUACUAUAAACUGUUCAUCAGCAUAUCAUAUGAAAUAUUAUUCUUUUUAAUUACUUAAAACCAAAUACCAAAAUGCUCCAUUUCAGAGCAAAAGGAGUAGAACCCCAACUGCUAGAAGGUCAAGGACCUACUACGUUAAGUUAAGCAAAGCAAAGCAAAACAAAGCUAACCUUAGUCUAAAAUUGCUAUUACCUAUUAGGCAGAAUUCGACAAACUUUAGACAAACUUUUUAAAGCAGCAUGACCAUGCUAGCAUACAUUAUAACAGCCAUACUAUGUCAAACAAGCAGAUCAGCAAUUUGGAAAUAGAACUACAUACAUCUGUACAUCUGCGCCAGAAAAAAAUUGGAUGCUAAUUCAUAAUAUCUGUUGAGGAUUAAUGCCGAAGAAACAGCAAUUUCCCCAACAGUGCCAUCAUACAGUAAGCCACACACGCAGAUACACUACACCCAAAAUAAGAAUCACGGAAACAAACGGCACACCAACAAUUAAUGUUGGCUAGAAUGUUGAUUAUCUUCAAAUUAGUUGUAGAUCCACUUUGAUGAUAUGAGCCAUUACUCUUAGCUAGCACGUUUUCUUCUUACCUGUUGUAGAUCCACUUUGAUGAUAUGAGCCAUUAAUCUUAGCUAGCACGUUUUCUUCUUACCUGUUGAGUAAUUAGAGGGACAUCAUCUAUGUACACAUUCCGGUAGCUUAAAUUAUGCCUGUUAUGCUGAAAGGAUGCAAGCUCAUCACCAGGGGCCUGGUCAAAUAUUUCUGUCUCUCUAGGAUAUAAGGGGGAAAUGAACAAGCUUCCAAUGCCUCCAUAUUCACCAGAUACUACAGAAUGCUGCAAGAAAAAUAAUCAAUGAAUGAAGUACCCAUCGGAGAACUGUACUUGAGAACAGUUAUAACUCAAGCUAGCGGCAAGACAAAUUGUAAAUCCUCAUAACAUACAGACAUGGUAAUUACAGUUUUUUUUCCUUUUCAGGCACAACCUGAACACAUCCAUGGAUAAAGUUGAUUUAUAACUUCAUUAUGUGAUGUUCUACGCAAGGUUCCAUACCAUUGAACUCAAGAUUUUGACACCUUGCCAUGUGAUGAGAAACUGAUCCAUCAGGUCAUACCAGAAACUUCCAUAAAUAUCUCACACUACCAGAUAAGUCAAAGUUCCAAUUUACAUUUGCAAUCCAGCAACCGAUAUAGAUUUGUCCUGCCCCCUGGCAGGCUGGCACUUUUGAAGAUGUAAAAUGACACCGAGAUUGAGGCCAUAAUCUAAAUAUGACCUGAGCAAAGCUGUGGCCAGUCCAAGCAUGGGAUUACCCUAAACCUGGUCUUAAUGAUAAUGAGCCAUUCUUAAGGUCAGAUUUUCACAAUAGUAGUCAUGUAUGUAACUCUCUUCCAGGAUAAACACAAAUUGACUUGCUAAGUUAAGGGCAUGUUUAGAUCUUUGCUAACAUUGUCAUUCCCUAUAAAUGUUAGAAGGGAGGAUGCUUUGUUUCGUUCUCUUUCCUAGCUUGCUUAUGCACAAGGUGUGCAAGAACUUCCUUGCUUUUGAGAGAGAGCCACUCCCCACCAUAAGGCUUUUGCUCGCAAGCAAGGUAAGAAUGUGCCCAAGGUUCAACCUAUCUUACAGGUUUUCAAUGAGAACGUUUAUCAAGAAACAAAUAUUGAAGUUUACUCUAAAUACUUGCAAAGAUUAGAGAAUACAACUAAAUAUUAGAACUCUUCAAUUCUUCAUGAGAAGAAGACUCAUGCUGAAGAGGGGAAAAAACUAAGAAAAAAAUAUGAAAGAUAUGUAUCAGAUUUUGUACUUACUGAAUCGUUUUCAAGAGCAUCCCCUUGCAUAUAGGCAUCAUAAAGGCCCCAAAUCUGAGACCAUGAUGGCUUAAAAGGUUCAAGUGGCACAUCAAAGGUCGGUGUAUAGGACUGAAUGUUGCAUGCAUGUGCUGGAGUUUCCAAGAUGUGGACAUCACUUUGGUCACAAUAUUUUGAAAAAUGCUACAACAAAACCAAAAUUAUCUUAGGAAAUAACAAAAAAGCAAUACGGAUGAACAUAUUAAGUAUAUUAAUUUCAGAAUAAUACUUUAAAGGAGUAAUCCAAACAAGUAAACUCUAUGGGGCCAAAUCCCAAAUCCUAAAGCACAUUUACGCAGACUGCCAUGCUUCCUAAUAACUAACUUGGAAAUCAAAUGCUUUAACAAACCUCAUAAUACUCCAAACUCUGAGAAGAAACUGGUUCCGUGGGUUCGACCUGGACAUUUAGUGCUUGUUUAUAGCAAUGAUGGUGAUAACAAUAAAUAGGGUGACCAGAGAUCAUGUGCUCAACAUCGUAGGAUGACAAUGCCUGCAUAAAAAAGGCAUGAGAUCACAAAAUAGUAAGAUGCAAUUGAACCAAAACCAAAACUAAAGACAUACAAAACUGGAUGUGAACAGCAUGGCAUCUUGUAAGCAUAAUAAUAGCAAAAUUUCAUUUUAAAUUAAAAAGAAGUACUUGCAGAAUACUUUAUUUUAUCCUUUUUAAUUACUGUUCCUAUAUGCUUAAGAUGAUGUUUUAUGAUAUCAUGAAUGCUAGUUCUAAUAAAUAAAAAAUUAUAUCUGAUGAAGUUUACAUUGUCCACUCGGAAAAAGUACCUCAUGCUGAAAUUCCUCUACUUGAUGAGACUCUGAGUAGCUGAAAUUUGGAAACCAAUCUGGCUUGCCCAAAACACCAGGAAGGCCAUAAGAUUGUGCAAAAGGUGUAUAGUAGGAAUUGGACAUGGACUGGCUAUAAGAAUUGGCCUCAUCUCUGUAGUUACUAUGCCAAGAUAAUUCCUGUUUCCAAACAACCACCAGCAAUUAGAAUCACAGAUUCACAGUAGAACAUUUGCGGGUACUACAUAGAGGUAAAAAUGAGUAAUGUACAGACACAUAAGGAAAAAAAAUCAAAUCGCAUUUGCUAAUUCAGUUCAGUCAAAUUAUUGCCCCCGUCAAGUUUAUGAGAUAUUUUGACAAAUAAGUGCAGUAUCAUGAUCAACUAUGGAGUGCAUUUCUAUGGGCAGUUCAGAUAACAUAAAAUUCGAGCUAAUUUCCUCACAUAUUACAGAGGGAACCAUCUGUACCCUUUACAUAUACAAUGUAAUGAUUAAUGAAUAAUUUCCUCCAACAAAGGCACAAAGCACUAAAAUGCACUUCCAGACGCAUGAUGCAUCAUGGAGAUAAAAUGCAGAUAUUAGCAAGCAGGCAUAUGGUAAGCAGGUACCCACAUUGCUCUGAACCAGCUCCUCGCUGCCAUCGUGCGGCUCCACCCUUCCCACCGCCGGUGGCGCCACCUCAACCUCCACGGCCAAGGCAUCCUCCCCGCUUUGUUUCCUGUUCGCAUAAACUGGAACGACGUAGCUAUCCACCCCAAUCCGCUGCUCCGCGUAGGGAUCCUUGUAGCCGAACAGGUAAUCCAACCCCCGUACACAUUUCCUCCAGAAGCCGCGUCCGCACCACCCGCCCCUCCGCACCUUCCCUUUCGUCGACGCCCCGUUUGGAAACACCUCCGGGGAUUCUUGCACCGGCUCCCGCGGGGCUUCCUCAUCGCCACGAGGUUCCUCCGGCUCCGGUGUGGGCGAAGGCGGCGAGGGUACAGUGGGUACGGAGGCAGCGGCAGAGGAGGAGACCGGGUAGCAAAUGUUGGCGGAAGGUGGAAGAGGGGUGCCGAACGUGGCGGCGAUGUCGUAGCCGCCGCGGUAGGGGUGAGGAUUGUACUCGACGAAGAAAUCGUCGUCGUCCUCGUGUGGGAUGAAGUCUCCGGCGACGGCGGGGGCCAUGGCUGGCCGGUUGGAGUUCGGGUUGUGGGGCGCGAGGAGGCGAAGUGGGAGUGGAAUGUAGCGGAGGAGGUGAAGGAGCACCAGGGCACGAGGAGGGUGGCAUGUUGCUUUCCGGUGAAGGCGAUGCGGUUGGGAGCUUGCGCAUGGCGAUGGCGUCGGGUGGGGACGACGCGGGCGGGGCUCGCCGUCGCCGGACGGGGAUGGUCGGAUGGAUUUGGCGAAUUCGGGGAGUUCGUGGAUGAUUUGGACUUUUGUAGUAGGCUGGAUCAGGUGCUCUUUUUCACUGCCGAGCCCACGGUUUCAAAUCGUGGGCCCGAAUCAGGUUGGCCCGGUCCAAACCAGGCGAUUUUACAAGAAUUGAUAUACAUUCCCUCAAAAAGAAAUCCUCAGUCUUUUAUAAUUUUGUAUGUCGGAGUAGUAUUUUACUUGUUUGUCUAAGUUUUCUUUACUAUGUUGACAACAAUAACAUAAUUUUUUUUACCUUGCCUCAGUGCUUUUUGUUUUUUUCUCGACCCAGCCAGUUCGAUUGAGAUUGCAGCUGCAGCAGCCUUUAUGCAGCUGCAGCCGACACCGUCUAGUCUGGCACUCUACUGUAGGUCAGUAGCCAAGUGGCGGUUGCAGCAACACGCGGGCCCGGAGCCCAAGGGCCAGCUGCAGCCCGCAGCCCUGCAGGCGCGCCCGCCCCUCCGCCCGGCAGGCAUCUCUCUGUCACACCGGAACACCGGCACCUCGUCCCACAGGGCCCUGUUUCCCCGCUCCCCUCCCCCCUCCGCCGUGACUGAGCAAGGAGGCGAAAGCCGCGAAGCCGCCUCCGCGAAUCGAGCCAAUUUGCCGCUCGCGCCACCAGCUCCUUCGCCCCGAUCGCAAUGCCACCCCGGAGUCAACCCCAACGGUCGCCGUGACCGGCGCCGGAGAGAUCUCGCGCGCCGAGCCCGUGGCUCCGCGCAGCUCUGCUGCCGCCGGCCCACCCGCCCACCCACCGACCCACGCGCUCGAUAAGGCCGCGGCGCGCGGCCGCCCCGCACCGGCAUCCUGGAGCCGCCGCAGCAGGAGGCGGUGAAACCGUCGCCGACCAACGGCCGCAUCCGCUACCGCACGCCCUCGGCGGCCGAUCUGCUCCCCGCGGACGAUCUCGCCGCCGCCCCCUCCGCCGCGGAGGCCGCGGCGGCCGCGAGGAUGCGGCGCUACUCGGGUGCCGGAGCACGGCAGCAGCAACAGACGGAGGCCGUGGCCGACCGCGUGCACCGUUACCGCGGGGUGUUGCUGGUGGUGCUCGCGCCGGUACUCCUCAUCUCGUUCGUGCUGCUGCUCAUGCCGCGCGCGCCGACCUCCGCCUCAGGGGGUGGUCUCCUCGCCGCCGGCGGUCGGAGGUGGGGCCCCCGGGCCGUUGAAGACGGACCCAACAAGUACGCUGUGAUAUUUGACGCUGGCAGCUCCGGGAGCCGCGUGCACGUGUAUUGCUUCGACGAAAACCUGGAUUUGGUGCCCAUAGGGAAGGAGAUCGAGCUCUUCAAGCAGGUGAAUUGGUUGGGCUUCCUUCUUGUCCAUUCAUUUAGUUUAACUUGCCUACUGUGUGGCGUUGCUGGGUGGGUUUGUUCGCUGUGGUCUGAUGCAGGGGUGUUCUGAAUGACCUUUGAAACGAGAUUAUUGAUAUGACACGGCCUGUUUGGUCUGCUUCUAGCCCAAGCCAAACUAAACAUUGGUAGCGUCAAUGGCAACUGGCCCCUCUAACAGAAAUGAAAAUUGAGUAACACCACUGGAAUCUUAUAAGAUAUAUAAUGUAUGGCCAAUCUAAACAAUGAUUAUUUUCUUUAGACAAAAUGUUGGAGUUGAUCGGUUUUUGGCUAUUCAAAAAAAUUUUAUCACCCAAUUCGCUCCCACAAUCCAGGCAUUUGUCUAUUUGGCUCUUGAGAGUUUGCAACCAAACAAUCCUGCACUUUUUUUAUAAUAUCCUUCAAAUAUUUUGUGCAAAAUUUGGCAAACUGGUAUUUUGGGCGUGCUUGGUUGCUGGCCACGCCCAGCCAUGCCAUAAGUGUGGCGCCACCACUAAAUCUGUGCUGCUGUUUGGUUGUUCACAAAAGUUAGGCUGUGGCAGCUUUUCCCUUCAUGAUUUUGGUCAAGGUUCUGGCACUGAAAAUUGCCACCACAUGUUAGGCGCCGCCGCAUCUGCAGCAUGGCAAUCUGUGGUCGGCAUCCAAGCAGCCCCUUUGUAUUGUAGAUAUAAUUACUCAGUGCCCAUUUAAGAAUGCUGAAAUGUGGGCAAUUAAUGUUGAUCCUUUUAUUUGUUCCCCAUAAAUUGUUGGAACAAUAACCUACCAUCUCUAGAUUUUCAGUCAGAGGAAUAUUGAAUGAUGAAGUGAUGCCACUAUGUGGUUUUACCUUUCAUAUUAGGACAUGAUAAAUAGCAGCUUUUCCUUUAAUUAAUAAGUUAUACUAUCUCUCUUAGACCAUAGUGUAUGAUUGGCUCUAGUUUAUUAGGGCAUGUUCAACGCAAGGUGCUUCGACACUAGUGCUUAAAAAGAGACAAUGCUGUUACAUCAUUAAGCACAGGUAUAAAAGUUAAUCCUUACAGGGCAAACCGGUGCUCAAAUAGGCUCAACCACUUUGUUGGCACACAUUAAGUGCAAACUUAAGCAUCUUAUCCUAGUGCAUAUGACAUGGCAAAAUAACCAGUUUACUUAGCUGAUCACCAUGUCCAAACACCUGCAAUGUACGUGCCCUUAGAAGUAGGACCGUAGCAACUGACACAUGCUUAUUACAUAUUACUGGCCAUGAGCUCUUGCCAUACUAAGGCAUUAAGCCAGAACCAUGUCAUGAUACAUUAAUGCUAUUAAUUCAAAUGUGAAAUCAGCUGACUGUUACUUAGAUAUGUCAACUUUAGGGAUUUCACAGCUCUCGUUGAGUUUCUUGCUCCUGAAAUCAGGAACACUGUUUAGUUAUUUAUAGUAUUUAAAUACAUGACAAAAUGUGACAGCAGACAGCUAAUUUUUUGGGGAAUAAUCCCGAAAUAGAGGAUUACAAAAACUAUUUUCUGCCAGGCUUUUGACCGAGUGCUUUUUUCAACAGCCUUUAUGAAUCUAUUUGAAUUUUGGAUAGUCUUUGCUGAACAGUCACGUUGAAAACUAGCUUGAAACUGAUUGAAGAAUUGGCCCUUUAUUAUUAGGAAACUGGAUUGGGGACUCUGCUUGGCUAUCCAAACAUUGAUAUUUCGCCCCUCAUAGAAAUUUAUCAUGUUAUGGAUGCUAGAACAAGAAAAUUUGUAGCUUAAAACAUUAGGAAUCAUGCCAAAUUAAAUGUACUGUAAAGUUGCAUGUAGCUGUUCCGAGGUUUUAUUUCUACGAAGCAAUUAGAGGCUUGAACAGCUUUUCAUCCUGGUUGAGCCUGUCCUCACUUCUCAAAUAAUAUACCAUAUAAUUUUUGGCCUUUGGGGGACUUUAGAACUUGCUGUGAAAAGAUUAAAGAUGUUCAGUUUUCUAAAGCACUCAUUGACUUAUCUGCAAUUACCCUGCUAUAUAUUUUCAUCCUAUUAUAUAUUUGAAUUAGAAAGAGCAAUUGACCAUCCAGAAAAGAGAGGGAAAGCUAACAUCUCUGAUUCUUUUCAUCUUCCUUUUGCUGUAGAAAAAACCAGGCCUGAGUGCUCAUGCGAAUGAUCCGCAGGAGGCUGCUGAAUCACUUAUUUCUCUUUUAGAGGAAGCUGAAAAGGUAGUUCCAGUAGAGUUGCGUAAGCAAACGCCUGUCAGGGUUGGGGUGAGUGAUGGUUCCUGUAUUGCAUUUUAUUGUAGUGGAAGCUGAAACAGCAUCAGUUUUAGCAAUAGUGUUUUUUUUCCCUAGCAAAAAUGUAAUUUUGGACUGUUGUGCAGGCCACUGCAGGUCUCAGAGCUUUAGGGACUGAAAGGUCUGAAGAAAUUUUGCAAGCGGUAAAUAUUCUUCUUGUGGUAGUCUGGCAGUAGUAUGUCUUAUCCCUCAAAAUGUGAUCAUUCCACCUUUUUUUGUAGCCUUAUUUUUUACAUUUAUAUUUGAUAUGCUUUGUAUUCUCUUUUAUUUUUGUCAUUAAUGAAUAUGAAUUCUUCAGGUUAGGGAACUUCUUCGUGAUAAGAGUUCUUUCAAAUCCCAGCCAGAUUGGGUGACUGUUCUUGAUGGAUCUCAGGAAGGCGCAUUCCAGUGGGUACAGUGUUGUUCUAAUUUAUUCCCAAUUCAAUAUGCUUCGGAGCUUUAUUUUCUUCAUUUCUCGUUAUUCCUUUAGAAUUGUUAACAUUAUUCUGUCAUUGGUGUUAACCUGUUCCCGUCUAACUUUGACUUUGCAAUGCCUGUAAUCAUGUUUUUGGCAUUUUGAAUUUGAAAGUAAAAUGGUUAUCCGUUUGCUGUUCUCCUGCAACCUUCACAACAAAAAGAAGCAACAUGGAUGUCUUUUAUUUUCUUUUGUAGGUUACCAUCAAUUAUCUUUUGGGAAAAUUGGGAAAGCCAUACUCAGACACAGUUGGAGUUGUUGAUUUAGGAGGUGGUUCAGUCCAAAUGGCUUAUGCUAUCUCGGAGAAGGAUGCAGUAAAGGCACCUGACGUGUCAGAUGAUGAAGAUUCCUAUGUGAAAAAGCUCCUACUUAAAGGAACCACAUACUAUCUUUAUGUUCACAGGUCCGCAUCAAAUAUGUCCUCACAUUCUAAUAUUAUUAUUGACUUUACUGCUAUUUUCUUCCAAUUUAAUAUACCAAUGAUGUCUAAAACCUGUGCUUAGUGUGGCUUACUCAAUAUUGAAGUUUGAAUUCCUAUGUCACUGUAGAAAGGUGAAUCCUGCAAUUGUUUGGAGGUUGCUACCAGAUGUUAGCAGCUUGGGUGGUUGUAGUGUUAAAGAGUUAAACUGGUUUGCUAGUCACCAAGUGGGGCAAUAAUAAUAUUUAUCCAUCAUACUCACCAGUGAGGCCACUGUAUGUCUUUUGGUUAAUCCUGCCACUUCUUGCCCCUUUUAACAUUUAUAGUGACAUAGAAUAGCAUCAUUUACAACAAUGCGAUGGUUUACUGUAGGGGAACUAGCAUCGUAAUAUUCCCUCCAUCUAAAUAAGAUGUGUAAAGAGCAUAGAUAUAAUAUAUAACUGUAAAUAUUGUUAUCCACAGUUAUUUGCACUAUGGUUUGCUGGCGGCUAGAGCGGAGAUCUUCAAAGCCGGCGAAGGCAAUGAUCACAGCGACUGUAUGUUGGAGGGGCAUCAUGGUACGGUUGCUUUUUUUUUAAUCUGCGAGGCCAAUAUCUAAAUUGAUAUACCAUUAGCUUGUUGUCUUUUUGGAAUUUGAAAUGAACUUCCUACAUUUUACUAUCAGCAUUGAAAGAGCGAAUGGUCACUUUGAAAUAAACCAAACUUACAGAAAGACUAUUUUCCUGAACUCCGUUCUAUUCUAGACAGGGUCCAUGCCCUGCUCUGGAAUAAGCAUAAUCAAUGUUGACUUGCCUUAAAAAUUUUGCGUGCCAUCAAAUAUUAGUCAAAGCAUUGCACCAUUCUGUACAAUAGAGGCCCUUGAUAAAAGCAUGCUACUUUAUCAGCAGAUUAGUCUUACGAUGAAUACAUGUUCCAGUUUCCAACAAAGAUGAAAUUAUCCAUCCGAAUCACUGUAGCUAAAUUGUCGAUAUCUGUUUUUUGUUUAUUGCUCACAAUAUUAUCAAAUCUUAAAUGUGCCAUUAAUUUCAGGGAAAUACAGUUAUGGUGAUAAUACAUUUGAAGCAUCAGGCUCACCUUCCGGUGCUAGUUAUUCCAAGUGCAGGGCUCUUGCAGUGAGAGCUCUUAAAGUUGAUGAACCAGCAUGCACUCACAUGAAAUGCACAUUUGGUGGUGUGUGGAAUGGUGGCGGUGGAGAUGGACAAAAGAAUCUCUUUGUAGCAUCUUUUUUCUUCGAUAGGGCUGCUGAGGCAAGUCUAUUUCACAAUUGAGCUCUCUGAUCUGCCUGAAGCGAAUUGCUGUUGUCUUACUAAUCCUAUUCACGAUUUGCACCUAAUUGUUUCUCAUCCUCAGGCUGGUUUUGUUGACCCAAAAGCAGCAACUGCUGAGGUUAAACCCUCAGACUUUGAAGAAGCUGCACGACGUGUUUGUAAAUUGAAUGUGAAGGAUGCACAUGCAACCUACCCCGAUGUCUCAGAGGAGAACAUUCCCUAUCUUUGCAUAGACCUUGUCUACCAGUACACAUUACUUGUUGAUGGAUUUGGUAUGGCUUAUUUCGAAUGAAAAAUAUCAUGAUAAUCCUAGAACUUAGAACCUUCACAUAUAUUUUCUUUUUCUUUUGGCCUUUUUUGUUCUUUCAGGCGUGGAUCCUUAUCAAGACAUUACCUUGGUAAAGAAAGUGUCUUACGGCGAUUCCUAUGUUGAAGCAGCAUGGCCCCUUGGUAGCGCCAUUGAGGUUGCAUCUUCAUCGUAGGCAGAAACAGCUUGGCAGUAACUUAUUCCUCUUUUUUUCUCUAUAAAGGUAUUCCAUGAUAUAGUUUUGGCUUAGUUUACUGAUCGAUAGUAGUGAGUUUAGACCCUGAGUUUGAUGCUAGGAUUUUGCCUCGAUUCACCAUUUGUUAUCCAUUUUUCAUUCUAUUUGUUUAGCUUCCUACACAUUAACAUAUACAUAGUAUAGGUUGGAGUUGUUUUCUGCUAGCCAUUUUUUUACUUUUCCUCAACAUUUCUCUAAAGGCCUUUGUCAUUCAUUAUUUCUUCGAUUCUGAUACAUAAAUCUAUUAUCCAUCAUCGGAUAUGAUUCGUAGGGUGGCUUAUUGUGAUGCCACUCUUUAUGUUCCUUUUUGCCCAUGUUGAAUUGCUCGCUGAUUUCCCCUUACUCUUAACAAGGAAACGGUCACGGAGAAUGAACUUAGAAAUUGGCAAUGCACUCUUUUCUUUUUGCUUUUCUGUAUACGUGUUUUUUGCAACCUUGUGCCCAUUCGUUUACUGCAGUCUGCAUUCCUUUGUAUUGCCCCGUUGUUAGGUUGAAUCAGUUUGGUGUUCGUUGUCAUUGAUCUAUCAUGUACGCCGUAAGCGGUAGUGCCGAUGGAUUGGUUUCGUGAGCAGGCAGGUCGCCUUUCAAACCGUGUUGUAACAUAGUUGUUAUGCGCGGAUGGGUUCAGAGGCGUGGCUUCGAUCAAGCCUGACUGCUUCACGAAUUGGUCGAGUGAUACAAGAAAGUAUUCAGGCACCGACUACGCCUCUACGCCUCGUCAUCCCGCCCUCCCAACUGCUUACAGUGCAAUGUCAGCCUUCCUCCCCCAGGCCCCAGUGGUGUGGCAAACUCCUUGAAUCCAAACCUCUCGCAAGCUCGCUGGACCCGAGACAAACUGGUAGUGAAUCGAGAGACGAAAUAUGAUUUCCUCAUUUUUUUUAAAAAAAAUCUCUCGCUGUUAUUUAGCUGCACGUCAAAUUCACAGUCAGCACCGCCUAACUGUUAUUCACCGUGUUUAGUAACAUCACCAGGGCUGACUAAAGAACACUGUAAACGAAGCAGCACACGUGCAUUGCGGUUGAAGCUUCUUACGCUAGUGCACUGACUGUGCAUGCCUGAUUGCCAGUUUUUUAAAUGAAAACAAGUAAACAACCAAUCUGAGCUGGGGCUGACCUCUAGGCAACACGAAGCUGCUAGGAAGCAAAUCCGUCGCCUGGUACUUCACCACCAAGUUCCUUGAGAGUAAGGCAUGCCCGCCUCUCGCGUAGAGCGUCCAGUAACCUCACACCCCCAAUGAAUAAACUUUACUAAACAACGGUGUACUAAGCAGUCAUAAGAGGCUAAUCCAACCACGCCUAUAUAAGCCGACGACAAAUGCCAUACCACAUCAAUCCAUCUCCAAUUCUCCAGUCAAAGUCCACCCAAUAUCACUACCAUCUCAGCCCAACCAGUCUGUUUCUCCCGCCGCUCGAUCGUGAGGGUGAGAGAGCAAUGGUUCUUCCAACAGGAGCCUCGUCGUACGCAGCCAGUGUGCCAUGGAGCCUCCUGGCCUACGGCCUCCUAGGCCUGGCGCUCCUCCGGCAGGCCGGCCGGCUGCUGCACCGGAUGUGGUGGCGCCCCCGGCGCCUGGAGCGCGCGCUGCGAGCGCAGGGCCUGCGCGGGAGGCCGCACAGCCUCCUCGCGGGCGACCUCCGGGAGAACGCCCGGCUGAACCGGGAGGCGUGGUCGAGGCCGCUCCCGCUGGGGUGCCACGACAUCGCGCCCCGCGUCGCGCCGUUCCUGUGCGGGGUCGUGCGGGAGCACGGGAGGCGGGCGUGCCUCUGCUGGUUCGGGCCCGUGCCCAGGGUGAUCGUCGCCGACCCGGGCUUGGCCAGGGACGUGCUGUCCAACAAGUUCGGGCACCUGGAGAAGCCCAGCUUCCCGGCGCUGACGAGGCUGCUCGCCGAAGGGGUCGCGGGGCUGGAGGGCGAGAAGUGGGUCAGGCACCGCAGGAUCCUCAAACCCGCGUUCCAUCUCGAGAAGCUCAAGGUAUGCAUGGUGUUGAACUUGAACCUCUCUUCUUUUGUUCAUUCUUGGCAUGAUCCUCUUCAUGUAUGGGCGUAUGGCAUUGCAGAGUAUGCUGCCGGCGUUUUCUGCGUGCUGCGAGGAGCUGGUCGGCAGAUGGGCGGAGUCUGCUGGCGCCGACGGUUGGUGCGAGCUGGAUGUCUGGCCGGAGCUCCAGAACCUCACCGGCGACGUCAUUUCUCGCACCGCGUUCGGCAGCAGCUACCUCGAGGGGAGGCGGAUCUUCCAGCUCCAGGCAGAGCAAGGUGAACGCCUCGUGGCCACCAUUCAGAAGAUCAUCAUCCCAGGCUACUUGUGAGUUUUUAUUCAUUAGUUCCAGGCUCCAUAUACUAAGUACACUCUGCUGAUACUGCACUGACCACGCCUAUGCAAACGCUAUGGGAACACACACAGAUAUUUGCCGACCAAAAACAACAGGAGGAUGCACGAGAUCAACGACGAGGUCACCUCACUCUUACGAGGAUUGAUCGAGAAAAGAAUGCAAGCUAUGAAAGAAGGCGAGAUCGGCGGCAAAGAUGAUCUGCUGGGCCUGCUUCUCGAGUCAAAUAUGAGACACACUGACGAGCAUGGCCCGUCCAGCCUGAGAAUGAGCACCGAAGACGUCGUCGAGGAGUGCAAGCUCUUCUACUUCGCAGGGAUGGAGACGACUUCCGUGCUGCUCACCUGGACGAUGGUCCUGCUCAGCAUGCACCCGGAGUGGCAGGACCGUGCGAGAGAGGAAGUCCUUGGCCUGUUCGGGAGAAACAAGCUUGAAUACGACGGCCUGACCCAGCUCAAAACGGUGGGCCCUCACUGAAAAAAAAUUAUUCCAAAAUUUAUCGCGCUCAGCCUGCAUCGUGUAGUUAAACGUCCUUAGUCCAUCGGUACUUGCAGGUGACGAUGAUCCUUCACGAGGUUCUCCGGCUGUACCCUCCGUUUAUCGCGAUCAGCCGGAAGACGCACAAGGAGGUGGAGAUCGGCGGCGUCACGUACCCGGCCGGCGUGGUGGUCGACCUGCCCGUGCUGCUCAUCCACCACGACCCGGACAUCUGGGGGAGCGACGUGCACGAGUUCAGGCCGGACAGGUUCGCCGAGGGGGUCUCCAGGGCGCCGCCCGCGUUCUUCCCCUUCGGCUGGGGGCCGCGCACCUGCAUCGGCCAGAACUUCGCGCUGCUCGAGGCCAAGAUGGCGCUGAGCAUGAUCCUCCAGCGGUUCGAGUUCGAGCUCGCGCCAUCGUACACCCACGCGCCGCAUACCGUAAUCACCCUGCAGCCGAUGCAUGGAGCGCAGAUUAAGCUCAGGGCAAUCUGAUCACUGAAGAACAUUCAUUACUGCUUUGGUUGCCUUGUGACCAGUGGAUGAAUCAAGGUGUCUUUAGAUCUUGAAAGACAUCUACUUGCAGAUGUUGAAAUAUUAGAAUUUCAUGUUGUAGUAUAUUGGGUGCAAUUGCUUUUAGCUGUAUUAGCCAGGAAUUGGUAUUUUGUAUCCUGUUACAUUCUCCCAAGUAAAUUUUCAUUUUGUUCAGUUUCAGUUAUUAUUGAUCUGUCGCAAUGAAAAGUUUGGGAACAGCCUUCACUGCAGGAAUUGCACGGAAAACUUGCUGAUAAGUUUGAAAGUCACUAUAGCUCUCCUGUAAGUGUACAACAAAAAGGUUUCCGGCAUCCCCGUUCUAGGAGCCAAAUUCUAAUCUAAAUCAGUAAAUCGGUCAAAUGACCGUCAUUUUCUGAAAGAAAUAUUAGUGAAUGGUCCAUUCAAUUCAACCUUAUGAAAUAGGGGAAAAGAUUGUGUACAGGAGGACCUGUUCUAAACUUCUAUAGUAUAUGCUGUUUCUGAAAGAAACUCUUCAGAUGCCAUAGCUGCAAUCCUGCGACCCCGACGCACAUGGCCAACGACAACAGGGUAAACGAGUGUAUUCUUGUGGCAGUGUCUUCGUUGAGUCUCUGCAUGUCGUGCUCACUGGCAGAAAAAGAUCAGGGAGCACCAGAAAUCAGUAGCGAGAACUCGGGUUGGUGAGAAAGAAACAUGGGCUAAUAGGCAUAAAAAAUAUCACCUCUGGCGCAGAGAAAUCAUCUCUUCGUGUAUGAGUCGAGCAGAAUCCUCCAAUUUCUUCAACUCUUCAGCAAUGGACUGGAAAGUGAGACAUUUUAAGAAUGCUCUCAAAUUCAGAUAGAUUGCUAGUUUCAUAGGGAGAAUUCACUGAAAGAACUUGGACGAUAGAUGCUUGUUCCUCCUUUAGCAUAAGCCACAAUUUUCUUGAAUUUAACACAAACAAGCAAGAACUUCUACAAUUAAGCAUAAUUAAAUUUCAUUGUGAAAUUGUACAGGAUUUGACCAUUGUACUGGAUUAACCAAACACUCCUUUUUUUCGGAAGUGAACAAAAGAAUUUCCGAUCACUGAAGAACUCUGACCACUGAUCUGCACGAGUGCAUUUGGUGCCCUCAUUAUGUCCCAAGUGAUCAAGAAGAUCGUAAUUCACCUUGAGAUUUGCCAUGGUGAUAUUUCUUCUGUUGGAAUACCGAGCCUAAACUGGGUUAUAAAGUUUGAAAUUCUUUUAUAAUCAUUUAUAAAACACCUUCCUCAUGAACUAAACUGGAGUGGCUGAGUCUUCAUAGUUGAACUACUAACUGUAGCAGGCCCAAACAACGAUACGAUACUUUUGUUUAGAAUGACAAUAAGAUAUUAUGUUAUUAUGUUGCGGUGUCUAAUUUAGCCAUUUGACAUUUAUGUUACUCCUGUCAACAUUCCUGUAAUGCUUAGUAUCAGCAUGCAGUAAAUUAGCAAACAUUCUAAGGAGCAGUGAAUUUCAAUUUUCAUAGGGAGCAAGUGGUUAAGGGAUGACGGGGGAGCAUACAGCGAUGGGGCCUUGGUUGUUGGAGACAGCGACGGCGGGCCGGGACCCGGAGCCCCCGGCGGUGUCCCACUGCACGUCGACGGAGACGACGGCGCCGCGCUCGUAGCGGGGCGUCCAGAAGCAAGCGGUGUGCCCGCCGUCCUCCGCCGCCUGGAACCUGAACUCCCCGCGCUCCACGGCCUCCGCCAGGUGGAGCUCCUCGCCGCGCGGACCCGUGACGCGCGCCGAGAUCCUCGGGUCAGCCGCCGACGUGGACCCCGCCGCCACGCGGUACGAGGCGUGGGAGAGCACGCCGCGGCGGAGGUCCUCGGUCAGGCACUUGGAGCUGCCCGACGGCACGUCGAAGACCAGCGCCUCGGCGGCGGCGCAGGCGUGGAGGAUGACGGCGAGGAGGGGCAGCGGAGCGGUCAUUUCGCGCGAGAUCUAGGCAUCUCGCUGCUGCUCGUGCGAUGAGUUAUUGGGACUUGGGAGGGAGAGGCGGUGUACGGGUGGUGGCUCGUCGGGUCCGGCCGUCCGGGACGUACGGGAGCUUCACGCCGACAGCAAGUGCGUAACCGCCGGUUGUUCAAGUGGGGAGAAACGAAUACAAUUUCGAGGGAUCGUGGAAGAGAAAACAGCUAAGCUAUAGACAGCUCGACUUGCAUAAUUGCAUUCGCAUCAACAUAUCAUAGUUCAAAUUUAAGAUUAGAUCCUAAUUUUUUUAGGAAUUCCUCUUUCAGUUUCACCAUCACCGGGCCUAAUGCUGAUGGGCUGAUGGCCUGAUGUACAAAGUCUACCUGCCCUGGCCGAACAAAAACUUGAUUUCCAAACCAAGUAAACCAACAUCCGCUGGUUUGCGAGAAUCUACCCGUACCAUGACCAUUGUUCGCCUAAACGACCGUUUAGUCCGUUUAAACAGCGUUUAAACGUUAAAUAGAGACCUCUGUGUUGUUUAGAUCCUAAACGGUGAAUUAAACGGUUGGACCGUUUAAACCCGUUUCAACCGUUAAAAACCAUCUAAACAGAAUCGAGUUAAACGUGAUUAGAUGAACUAAAUGACCAUUUAGUUUAUAAUUUAGUCAAUAGAAGGAUUACAACUACCACAAUCAACACUAAACUAAUUAGCAUCGUAAGUAUACGAAGUGUCGUGGGAUUUAGAUUUCUUCCAAAAAAAAAUUAUUUGGUAGAAUACUUACAUUUUACAUUUGUAAAUAUGUAGACUUUCUAACAAUAUUUGACUUUUAUAUACAUAAAUAUGUAUAUUUUAGUGUUAUUAUACAAAACCGUUUAGAUCGUUUAAUCAUAUUUAAACACUAUGUAAACGACCUAAACGCUAAAUAAAAUAAAAGGUGACCGACUAUUUAACAUUUAGCGUUUAGGAUAACGUCUCGUGCCUUAUACAGCCCUUCCGAUCGCAGUUAUAGCCGGAGACCCGGAGUGACGCCGCGACGCUUUCUGCCGGUCGAGAUGGACCGCGGCGACGGCGCCCGCAGCCCGCAGGUGCCGCGACCUGGUGGGCACGCACACGGUUAUGUCGCAUGGCCGGCUGCCGUGGCUCGGCCGUUCGCUGCGUUCACGGGGGAGGCACCUGCCUGAAACGCGCGCGACAACCGACGGGUGGAUGGAGUUUCAGUUGCGGAUGAACAUCACCUGUUCCAUUUCCAAAAGAAAAAAAAACAAGGAAGAAUCGGUCAGCUGACAUCUGCUGAGAUCGAGUGGCUUCGAUCGACGCGGCCGCACAUGGCGGUCUUUUUGUAGAUGGAGACUGGCCGAGCUCCGACGAAGCUGAACAAUUCUUUUAGGGCGUGAUUGGUUGCUCCGGGCGUAGGGAGCCGGUAUGGAGGACCGGUCCAAGCUCACGGGAGAUAGGUUGAAAUCGUACACUGAGUUGUGUUUGGUUGUCUUUGUUGUUGGUCCGGUAGGAGACGGAAUCGUGUUUGGUUGCAUGCAUGGAUAAGAGUUUUGGGUGUAUGUCACAUGGAUCCUGCGCUCACCUGCACCGUGCCAUCCCGGCUCGCGAGGGAAGGUAGUUUUUGGGCGGACGGAGGGAUGCGGGAUGGGAGGGGUGGAGUGAACGAGAGGGUGCAGCCAUAUGAUGCGGGAAGAGCAACCAAUCACGUCCAAAUGCACGAGAUGAUGCCGGAUGGUCCUCCUGACGCCACCAUCCCGCCUACCAAUCACGCCUAACGGAAGAAGAAGCUGCGAGUGUAGCCCGCCACGUCAGAUGUGCGCACCUGUCCAAUCGCUAGAUGUCCCUUGAUAAGCUGGAUGCUUUUGACUCGCUAUAUCGAGAUUGUCAAGUUGGACCUAUUUUAACGGCUAGGCCUGUCUCGAUAGAAGUUUCGUAAACAAUUUCGUGCAUUUUUGCUGUCUUGGUAAGAUAAAUGAGCAUUCAAUAUAAGAGGAGUUUCAUCUUUAUAACACUCGGGUUAACUUCGCUACAUAGUUUUCAGUAAACUAUACGUUGAAACUAGUUUAAGCCCGUAGUACAUCACAUGCGCAAAAUAUUUUGAAUCCUCUACACUUCAGUCUAGGUAUGAAACGGUUCAAACCACAUCCAUUAGUCGCUUGACCCAAAUUAAUGUGGAAUGCAAAAUUUCCCCGGGAAGCUUGAAUUUUAGACUAGUUAUGUUUCGAACAGCAGAAAUGGCAAUGCGAGUUCAUCAUCUUCGUUUGUUUUGUUUUUUUGGAAAAGAAAAGGUAUAUCCUUGUGUUAUGUUUGAGCCAAAGUUUCAUUCAGUCCUACAAAAUGAUGAUUAUAAAAGGACCCACGCCACGAACGUUGCGGUUACGCACCCUAACACCGACCGGAAUCCCAACCAACCAACUCCCCCUGACGCCAUCACACGGUAAACGACCGCUCCUCCUGCGCUCUCGUCCACCUCCUCCACGACUCGUUCCUAGCGGCGAGCCCGGGCAGAAACAGAAGCCUCGUACCAGCAGGCAGCCAAGCCAAGCGCCCAAGGCCCCCGCCAUGGCCAAGCAGAAGGCCUCGCCGCCGGCCGCGGUCCGCCGCCGCCUCGGCGGCGCCGGGGCAUCCGCCGUCGGGUGGGCGCUGCGCGUCGCGACCAGCAUCGUGGCCUGGACGCUGCUCCUCCACCUCUUCACCUUCCUCGGCAUCCCCCGCCCGACGCUGCCCAUCGCGCGCCCGUCCUGCCUGGGCGGCCGCAACAACUCCGCGGCCGCCGAAGCCGUGGUUGCGGCCGGCGAGGCCAUGCACCUGGCGCCCCCGGCUCUGCCUCCCAGGAGUGAGUGGUUCUCGUCUGCUUCAUCCGGGGAUUUGGGUAAUGGGGGUCGUGUUUCCUGGAAUCUGGGCCGACCUACUUGCUCUGCUCUUAUCUGGUGAGGCCCUUCUGCUGCCCCCGUGGCGAGAAUCAGAAUGUGGUAGUUCUAGAGCAUUUUAUCAGCUGGAUCGAAUUGUUCCCCGGGAGCAAUUCAAAUAGCCCACUCAAAUUCGACCCGUUCCUUGAAUAAUCCCUCGCAUUUGGAGUGCCGUGCAUUCAGAAUUGCCGGAUUAGUCAGUUGGUGAUUACCUCUUAGUUCUCGAUUAUUGGGAUUCUUUAUCUUCUCGUAGUAUUUUUUUAGAAAAACAUUUUUGUCUCGUAGUUUGUGAUGCGGACCGCAGAGUUAUAAAAAAUAUACUUGCUGGGGUGCGGUUGGAUGCUGUAUCUUGGUAUUUUCAGUGAAAUCAUGUUCUGGGGCCGAGUUGGUUCAGAUCAACCAAUGAUUGGUGGCAUCUCUUCGUUUGAAUUUUUUUUAUUUGGUCUUGUUGGCAUGGACAAUCUCCCUUAAGUUGGAAGUAGAAUGAGAAACACCAGGUUUCAUUAAAUAAUUAGUAGUAGUAUGCCUUGAGACAAUUUGGUAUUUUGCAAGGAAUGUUUUUUUAUGUUUUUACCAUUUUAACAUGAACAGACUAUUUAAACUAGGAGUUGGUUGACUUGGUUCCCACUCUGAAGAUUCUAAUCAUCAUCUAGGUGUUAGGUGAUGAUGACUUGAAAAUAAUCAGGUUCUAGUUUUGUUUAUACCAGUAGAUCAAGGUGUAGUUGCAGUAAAUUUGAGUGCUCCAGAAUACAGUUGGCUCAUGUUGCCAAAGUGUAUUGCAUAGCAUGAUCUUGACAGUAGUCUGCCAUCUUAUUCCGGCAAAUAUGAUAGAUGAUAAUUCACUCCAAAUAUAACAUUCCCUUUUGCAUGUAGGACUUUACAAGAGUAAUGGCUAUCUUCUUGUUUCGUGCAAUGGUGGUCUGAAUCAAAUGCGAGCAGCGGUUAGUACACUCUAUCAGACUAUCUUAACACUCCCUCUAUCUACUCAUCAGCAGCUUCAAGGACAAUUGGCCUCAAACUGUGCUUUUCUUAUGCUUCACAAAAUCUUGUUUCAUGCAGAUAUGCGACAUGGUAACUGUAGCACGCUACUUGAAUCUGACUAUGGUGAUACCUGAACUUGAUAAGCAAUCCUUCUGGGCUGAUCCUAGGUGUCCAGUUUUGUCAUAUGCUUUCUUGGUUGAAUACAGAAUUAGGCAAGAAUACUGAUGCAAAGUUAUACUUCUUUCAGUGAUUUUCGGGACAUAUUUGAUGUAAAUCAUUUCAUCGAUUCAUUGAGAGGUGAAGUGAAGAUUAUCAAAGGACUCCCACAAAAGUUCAGUGAAAAAGUUCCUCUGUCAAUGCAGCCAAUCAGUUGGUCUAGUGAGAAAUACUAUUUGAGGCAGGUUAGAUAGUAAUCUUUCUCAAGAAUGUGGAAUUCUUUUUUAAUCUUUUGUCACUUCUUGGGUCUCACAUUCAGAGUGGGCUUGUUUGCAGAUCUUGCCUCUAGUACGAAAACACAAGGUGGUACGUUUUAGCAAGACAGAUUCACGACUUGCAAACAAUGGCCUUCCUCUGAAGCUCCAAAAACUUCGCUGCUAUGUUAACUACAAUGCAUUGAGAUUUACACCAUCCAUUGAGGCUCUAGGCAACAAAAUGGUCUCAGUUCUUAGGAGUACUGGGUCUUUUAUUGUGCUUCAUCUGAGAUAUGAGAUGGAUAUGCUUGCUUUCUCUGGCUGUACACAUGGGUGUUCUGAUGAAGAAAUGGAAGAGUUAACAAGAAUGAGGUACUUUUUAUGUUGCUGCUUCAUAAUUAACUUUAUCUUCUCCUCUCAACCUUUAUCUUCAAUCUUCGUUGAUGCCUGCCUUUUGGACCUCAGGUACGCAUAUCCCUGGUGGAAGGAAAAGGAAAUAGACUCUGAGAAGAAAAGGCUCGAGGGAUUGUGUCCCCUUACUCCUGGAGAAACAACAUUAGUUCUUAAAGCUCUUGGUUUCCCCAGAGACACUCGAAUAUAUAUUGCCUCAGGUGAAAUAUAUGGUGGUGAAAAAAGAUUAGCUGUAUUGAAGACAGAAUUUCCUAACAUCGUAAGCUCACCUUAACUCCACAUGCAUAAAUUUUUGGAAUGCUAGAAUGAUGCUUACUUGCAAUUGUAAAAUGUAGGUGCGGAAGGAGAUGCUUUUAUCUGAUGAUGAGUUACGACCCUUUCAGAAGCACUCAACUCAGAUGGCAGCACUGGACUAUCUUGUUUCUGUCGCAAGUGAUGUUUUUAUCCCCAGUAAUGAUGGAAACAUGGCUAAAGUUGUAGAAGGACACCGCAGGUCUGCAUACUUUGUUUGACCUUCCUAGCAUUUGACUGCCUGUUCCUCCUUGACUUCCCAUCAACUACAUCUAUUAUUGCAACUUAGUUGAUUUAGUAGAAAGUGUAUAAUGUCUACUUUUUGCAUAGAUAUGUUGUACUAUUUGUUCUCAUGUGAAUGAUGUAGUUAUAGGUGUUUUUUCCUUCAGAAACCACUGAAGAAUCAUGACAGUGAAACCUGCAAAAAAUCAAUGUCUCUUGAUUAGCUGACAAUUGCUUAUGCUGGGAAUGCAGGUUUACAGGCUUCCACAAAACAAUACAGUUGGACAGGAAGAAGCUAGUUGAGCUUAUAGAUCUUUUUGAAGAUCAGGAGCUGUCCUGGGAAGAAUUCUCUGCCGCUGUCAAGGAGCUCCACAUGGGCCGAAUGAGCCAGCCCACCAGAAGGAGAGUUAUCCCCGGACAACCAAAGGAAGAGGACUACUUCUAUGCUAAUCCUCAUGAAUGCCUUGGGCCUGCAAGAAAGCGAAGGGAAAGGUUAAAGCAUAUUGAGAUUUGAAUGCUACACGUUUAGCACCAGGGUAGGUUGGUACAGAUAGAAUGCCAAAGUGAAAAGUGGCGAUGUGAUGUUUAGGCGCCAUUUCAAAUAUUCAGAGUAUAGCUGGUUGCAGCAAUGGCGAAACAACCCUCAGCUUCCUCAUUUAGCUGACCUCUGCUCGUGAUUUUUGUCGAGCCUCGCCUUCAUGAAGUGCAAUUGUGUGAAUAACCUGUAAUCCUACUCUGCCUGGCGAAGCUCAUCACCUUGCCACGAAUUGAAGAUCGUUUGUCUUGUCAAAGAUUGACAUAAAACUCAAGAGAAGCCUUUGCCAUCGAGAAACUUGAUGGCUAUUAUUGUUCUUGGAUUCAGAUUUUGCUGAUUCUGUAGUCAUUUUCCCCUCCUGAUGAGGUUUAUUGAUGGUAUAGUAAGACUGAACUGGAAACUGUUGUUUGUUGUUGUAAUCGAUUGCAGGGCUAGGUCGAAUUUGUUGCUGAUGUGUAAAAACUGUUUUGCAACUUGUGGAACAGAUAGCAGUGGACCAACUUGUGGUGUGCCAUGGCCCAUGGAAUUGAGAUCAAAUUCUAACAAGUUUGAGUAUCUGAUUUCCUUUCUGUGCACGGCAUUUCUGUCUAGCGGAUCACCUUGUGGCACAGGAUGCCACAAUUCCCUCUUCUGCUCUUCAUGAGCCUCAUUCAUGUACGUAGAGAUAAUAUGCUCGGCGAGUCGGCAUGGUCUAAUGUUGCAUCGGAAGGAUCUAAAUAUACGGUUACUAACGCAAUCGGAAACUUGCUGGCUAUUACUGUAGCAUUUUUUUUUGUUAUAACCAUCAGCACUAAGAUUACAUAGUUGAGAUUAGAAACCUCUUACCAGUAACCAGCACGUGUAUUAUGAAAAUGCAUGUGUAUUAGAGUGGAAAAUGAACUAAUGUCCCCUCAAUACCUCCUAACAUGUUUCGAUUGUAGGGAAUUAAUCCGUUUCCAAAUGAACAAUAUGCAAAAUACAAUUAUACAAACAGGCAACUCAAAUAACACAUUGCGCACAGAUAAAUUGUUGGGAAGCACGCUAAUUUCCACAAGAAAACAAAAGAUAAAAAAAAAACACCAGGCACCAUAUUUCACUCCAGAAGACUAGCGUAAUUGUCCUCGUUGCUAGUACAGUGAGCAAACUGCAACAAACACCACGGUGACAUACACGUAACACUAAGGAUUACACAUACUUUACACUCCAAAAUCGGGACUCCGUACGUCAAAACGGUGCAGAGCAAAAGGCUAGUUAACUAUACAACCAAAGCUAACGGAAAUAUGGACAUUUGGUGGGGACCGACGACUGAAAGAAUGAACAACCAUUCACGUGCUACCUAACUUCCAGCUUGCUACAGUACUAUCAUAGCUCCGAGAGUAUAGCAGGGAUAUAGUGAGACAGCUCAGCGGUGAGUGACUGGAACCCAUUGACGAGUUGGGUGUGGAAUUCCUGGUCUUCUUCGCCUAUCAAUCUGAAAUGCACACGGAUUGCGCGCUUGCAGACAGCCAUGAAUUCAAGCAAUGCAGCGAUGAGCUGCUGCAGUUCUUGUGAUCGGAGCCUAGUCGCAGGCUCACCAGAUAAGAAUGCUGUGCACACACUUAAUACUCCACUGUUGACCUGCAUCACAACAGCAAAAGAAUUAGCUUAACAUAAAAUAACAAAGAAAUUGAGGAAACAGUAGAAAUUGCUAAACGUUUCCAAUACUCUGCAACGGAGAAGCCUUUACCUGAACAGCCACACUUCCUUGGAGUAUCCUUUGCAAGCUUUGAAGCCUUGGUAGUUGAUCACCUUCAGAGCUCCGUGGUUCUUCUAGUUCAUUUCUCAAUGCGGCUGUCCUUGUUUCAAUCAUUCCAAUCGCAUUCUCAACAGGCGAGAACUCCAGAGAUUCAGAUUUGGUAACUAGCAGGCGGUUCACUAAAGCAGGAAAUGAACCCUCUGUCUGAAGCACUGUGCGUCUCUUCCACUGGUCUUCUAAGCCACCUUGUGUUUUUCCAUUCUUUGUGAAUGGUGUGUCAAAAAGAAAACGGUCAAACACACGUGCACGUACAGUACCAGUAGAUAAAGAAAAAAUCCUUUCCCUCCUGCUACCCAAGUCCUCAUCCUCCAUCACAGGAUCAACAGCAGUGAUCUGUAAAUAGCAGACACCAGGUUGCAACUCAUCAGCAUUGACUUGUCUUGAGUCUGGAAUGAUGUGUAAGGUGUGAUUGCCGUCCAUUUUAGCCUCAUAUGUAUGACUAAGUUUCUCCAUAAUGUCACCAAGACGUACAUCCCGUGGCUCCCUAAACACAUACUCCUUUUUAUUGAGCUUACCAAAACGCUCACCGUAAAAACCAACUCGGUAGUACGUGGCAUCAAUAAAUGGUAUAGGACUGGCCUCCUGCUCAAGAAUUGACUCAUAGAUGUUUGUGAGUGAUGUAUGGCAUUUGGCUAGCUGUCCGUAAGACCUUCUACUCUUAUACACAGGAAUGAUGAGUUCCUGGAUGCUUGCACAAAAAUGGUAGAGCUCAGCUUGUGCAAAGAGUUUGUUGGCAAGUUGAAGAUACUUGACAGCUGAAUCCACUGUUAGUUUGGAUGCACCAUAUCCCUCAACUUCAGCUGCAGACACUUCUGCGCUCACAUCAGUGCUCACGAUAGGGCAAAUCUUACGCAGUGAAGCAACAUGCUCCUUGCUCCACACAGCAUCAUUCCUUCCAACAAGUGCCUGUAAGAAAGUUUCAUAAGUUACAAAACACCAUACAUGGCAUUUCAAGAUUACUGAAAUAAAAUGAAGUGCUGGAGCAAAGAUCACAACCUGCAUGAUCACACCAGCUACAGCAACUGCACAUUGUGCUGCUUCAGCCCAUGAUUGCAUCUCCUGGUGUGCAUCACACAGGUGUAGCAACCACAUAAUGUGAAGAUCUGGAACAGGCGCAUAAGCCAUAGCUAGCUUAUAGAAACCCUCGGCAGCCGCAUACCUGUCCACAUUCACUACAGAACCCUACAAGAAACAUUUAGAUUUACAGGUUGUAAGUUGUCAGAGGACUCAAAAAGAGAAAAGCAGCAACACAGCAUAUUGGAAUUACUUGUGUGCUGAUGUUGUGAACGAGAAUCUAAUUUCUUUUCCAGUAGCAUUCAUUGGUGAAAUUUGCUUACCAAGAGGGCGUGUUCCAGACCAGCAUCAAGGGCCUGGACAAGACAUUUAGACAGAUGCUUCACCUCUACCCAAGACCACCUAUUAUCAUUGGAACCUUCAGGAGCAGCCUCCAAUGCAGUAACAGGGAGGCCGCAAUCUUUUAAUAGAUCCUUGCUUCUAACAUCAGCCAUUUCCUCCAGAGAUUUCCUAAGGCGACGUGCUUCGCCACUUUCUUCAAGAGAACCAUCAGAUUUCAUCUGAGUCACUUGCACAUCGGACAUCAAUUCUGACAAAGUAAUCGUCAACAUGACCCUCAGCCUCGUAGUGUUCUUGAAAUAGUUGAACGAGUUCUAGAACCACAAGAAUAUCUAUAUCAGGAUCAUUCAGUUGAAUACCAUAUAAAGCUACAAUUUAGCUAAGCAGCUUACCCUAACAAGAAUCUGCAACCCAACAACAGCCCUUUUUCUAAUCGAAUCAUUUCGGAAAACAGCAAGCCGCAAAAGAUGAAAAGCAAUUUGCUUCAAGAAGCGAUCAUUCUCCCUUGCCAUAAGUGUUGCGCCAUGGAGAUUAAAUAUAUUAUAAACCACAGGAAGGAAAGCUUUCCAAAAGGCCAAGGGCUGGCUCCUAGACAAAAGACCCAUCAAGAUUGAUGUUACACAAUCUAACUUAGCAUAAUCAGUAGUAAUGCUUCGAGUGCCUGCAGCGACUGAAAACUUCUCGGUUAUUCCUAACACUUCCAGGCUCACAGCAGUACUGAGAUUUUCUUCCCA
rnacentral:lncRNA from 1 species